CACCAUCACCUCCUCCUGCUUCGUCUCUCCCUCCUCCUCCUUCUUCUUCCCCAUGAAGUCGAACAGCCCGCGGUCCCGGGUCUCCGCAGUCCCUUCCUGGACGACCGGGGUCUCGCACUCGUGGGUGGUCUUGCUCUCGUGAUCCAUUGCUCUAAACACACAGCGCCGCUGCGAUCAACGACCGGCGAUCUCCGAACUAUGCGGUAACGCGAAUAACAAAGGAGCGACAGACGGAUUCGUCGAAGCUUUCUCUGGUGUUUCUAAGUGGGUUUUCUUCGUGAUGAUGCUGAGGAGUGAGUUUGGGCGGUUUUUAUAGCAUAGAAUUAACGCGGAAAUGACGCGAUUAAGCAUGAAGAAGGAAGGAAUUCUGGGGAGAGAUCUGAAGUGGGCCCACCUAGAGGGGGCGGCCAAUCCGCUCCCGCUUCUCAACCGACGUGGUGCGUUAAGAGAGGAAGUCGGACAGCCGACCCAAAAAGGGUAUCGCCACGGGCCGACGCGCCGAGGGAACGCACGCGCCCGCGCUGCUCUCGACGAGCGGCCCCGCUUUCGUCGGAUGGCGCGUGAGCUUACGGUGUACGCGAGCGAGGGGAGCUGGAAAGGCACAGUCAAACGGUGGGAAAAAGAAGGAGAGAGAAAGUAGUAGAGAGAGAGAGGGAGGCGAGGGGAGGUGGGUGGCGCUGUCCUAGCCACUAGGAAGGGGACACGUGGAAUUGCGUCGUGGGAUGGAUGUCCUUGGUCGGGGCCCGCAGAUGCAGAUGUCGGCCUCUUGGCAGAGGAUAAUGGCGCAAGGUCGGCGUGGGGGCCCACGGAGCGAUGUGCGGGCCCACAUGGCUAGUUAAUUGCUUUUCUGUCUCUUCAAUUGCCCAUGACGUGCGCUUCUAAGACUUUCGAACGGAAGGGUUUAUUUUUUCUUUUCUGGUCGAUAAAAGAAAAUUAUAGGUUAGGGAUUAUAUUAGGGGUGAUGAUUUGUGACGCGACAUCAUAAUUGAGCAUGAUGUUAAUAGGGUUAUAUUCAGGUUAGGCUGGUAAAAAUUCCAUGUCAAUUCACUAGAUAUAAUUAAUAGUCGUGUCACAUUCAUAUUCAACUCAUAAUACACAAAAUUAACUUGUAUGACCCGUUGAAUUAAUUAAUUAGUGUCGACGCGAUCUGUAUGUGUCUGACUUUCCAUAUUAUUCACUAUCAAGAUAUGUUAAUUGGUGAUACUUCGUUGAUCCUAAACAUAUUAAUAAUUUGACAUAUAAUAUUUUGUGUAUUGCAUUUUGUAAACAAAUUUUAUAAGAAUUAGAAAUAUUUCAUGCCAGGUUUAUACCGGUGAAUUUAUUCUGUGUCAAUGAGUAUAUUUCAAGUCAUAGUAAGCUAUGCAAACAUGUUGAUCCAGUAACCUGUUAUAUAAUUGUAUUACAUGAGUUAUAUCAUGGCAUCCCAUUAAUUUUGAGAUCAUAUUUGUGUCAAUAACUAAUAAUAUUAUGUUCAAGAUGACAUUUUUUGUAAUAUACUCUUAUGUUGACACAACACGAACACAGCAUGUGAACAUGAAGUGCCAUUUCCAAUUUGUAACCAUUGAAACUAAAUGUCAUUAAUCUUAACCAUUCAUCAAAUUUAAAAAUGACUUUAUACGUAAAAACUAUGAGAAAAUGUAAGUUAUGUCGACAAAUUAUUAGGGCAAACCAUAGUUUUGUUUGAUUUCAUGAAUCAAAUUGAACUAAAGUAAAAUUAUCGAUUACAUUGGAAUAGGGAGGUGAUUUUAAAAUUUUGAUUUAUAAACAUAACCAAACUACCAAACCGAAUAGUAUUAUAAUAUACCAUAAAUGUAUAUCCAAUCUUUACCUCAAGUUGAGUUUUGGGCAUGAAGCGUGCGAGGUCAAGUCGACCUCAAGUCCAGCAUCGUAUCAAUGAAACUCAAUUUUUCAAAUCAUAUUAUCUCAACUUCGAUUCAAUUUUCCAUUCAAGUCCAACCAAACCAUAUCCUGCUCAUCUCUACGAAUCACAAUAAGAUGGGUUGUUGCAUCGAGAGGCCAUGGAAGUACUGGAUUCACAGCGCAUCAGAAGACUCAACAAAUCCAGAAACAAGACAACUCGAAGAUAAAUCAAUUUCUGCAAAAAUCAAAUACAAAAAAGAAAAUUAAAAAAAAAAAUGGGUUGGGAUUGAUCUGGGGGCUACCGACUUGGCUGAGGCAGAGGGGAGCUUCGAGACCUGCGACUGGUAGUUGCCCUGUCAAGUUGUGGCCCUCCCAUCGAUGAAAAUGUCCACCCAGCACCGGGCUUGGGAUGCCGACGUACUCGUUUGUUUGUUUAUUCCCCUCCCCCUCUUUCUCAAAUGAUUCGUAUCCUCAAGUGUAUCCUUCCGAAUUUCAUUCCAAUCAAAUUAUUGCAGCCGUCAAUAUAUCUCGCGAUAACAAAAAUAUAUUAUUCUAAAGUACAUCAAUAUUUAGUCUCUGAUUCAUAUUCUCCCCUCUUAUAAUAUCAAAUUAAAGCCUUAUUGUAAGUAGAAUUUCAAAUGCAUUAGAUCACAUCAUGAGAGAGAAGAGCGCCCCUAAAAUUACCCAACAAUGUGAAUUGAUCAAGUCACAUUGCGUGAAACUAGUUAGAACACCUCCAAAUUAUUAUUAAAAAUGAUCCUCUUGGAUAUUUCUCUUUUUUGCCAUGUCAAAUUUGAGAUUGUUGCUUUUUAAAAGAUACGUUACUUAAGGUAGGCUCAAUCGACAACGAAUUAAUCGAGUCGAAGUGCGCAAAAGCUAGUUAAAACAUUUUUUUGGGUCAAAAGCUAGUUAAAAUAUUACCUAUUUAUUCUUACCCAAAAAACCUCAUCCUUUCCAAUUUUAUUUUAUUUUUUUCCGUCAGUUGGAGUGAUUGAGAUCAUCGCUUUCUAAGGAUACGUUGCUUCGGGCGGACUCCGUGGACAGAUGGUCGGUGGGGUGUCGCCAAUGCCCUUUGCUUUCCCGAUGCACGGAUGUGCAAAAGAAAUCCCAGAACUUCACGGCCGGAUACAGCGGCAAGCCCCUCUCAAUUUGCAGCGUACGGCUCCUCGUCUUAAUCGAGCUGACUGCUGAACGUGCGCGCCUUGGUCCCUUUUACAUCUGUAUCUCUCGCCAGGACGAGGUCCCGAGAUCGGCUCACCGGUCCGGCCCGAAACAUCAAGGCCGAGCAGAUUUCUUCCCAACCCAAGUUGACAGUAAUCGAUCUAUUGUGCUGUGGCGGGCUUUGAUGUGGGAUAAGCGAAGGCGUCCGAAUAGAGGAAAUGAGUUCCUUUUAUAAUGAGAAAUCUCAACUUAGCCAAGUAAGUCAGAGGCCCUUGAAAUGAGGUAUUCUAUUGACUGCAUGUAACACCCGGGUCUCCACUGUACAGAGCCCAUCCUUAUGCCUUGACCUUCCUCCCUAUAAACAUUAAGUUCUCAUGGUUUUAUUUUUCUCGAAAUAACUCAUACUACCCCCAAGAAAACGCGUAUGUAUAGUUAGAGAGCUCAUUGCCUUAUAAGACAGCUCAAACCUCCCUCCCUAGACGAUGUGGGACAAAAGACAUGCCCCUCCAUGCGCGUGUCCGAGGAUCGAAGCGCAGACGCACCGCCAUCCCUCUCCCCGCGCACCGCUGCCUGGGGCGUCACAUUGUAUGUAUUGGGUAAGAAACAAGUUAAAAUCUGACAAUGUUGUAGAGUAGUCUAGGAGUAGAACAGACUAUGUGAUCGGCAUUUGCACCAUAGAAUGACCAAUUUUGGUUGUUAUCAAUAAGCAAUAGAAUUAGUUGAUGAGAGUAAGGUUUUGUCAAUUAUGAACCAAAUUAUCAGCAACUUGAUGAAUUAGUAGCUUGAAAUCUAUUUCUAACCUCCGUUGAUAAUCGUCAAUCAUAGGCCUUAAUAGUCACAUGAUAUUCUUUGGAGGCUCAUCACACAAAGAAACAAACACGUUAUCUUUCAAUAGCUGCAUUGUAGUUAUAGUUUUCAGACUUGUGACAUCGAUUAAAUCCCAACGUAUUUCUUAACUGUAGUUUCUAAAUUUGUAUUAUCGAAUAAAUUCUAGUGUGUAUCUUAGCUACAUAUCUUAAGUGCCUUGUCAUUAAUUAAAUUCUCACGUUGCGCCUUUACAUUCUCAAGCCUUGUCAUCGAUCUAAUUCCAAUAUAGUUUGUGUAUGUUUGGUUCCACUUGAAUUACGUUAUCAUGUUUUGUUUUUAUAGAAUUUUAGCACAAUUUGUGUACGUUCAGUUCUAUUUAAAGUGAAGUUAUCGAUUCUCUUGUCUAUCUAUGAUAUUUUUCAUUUAAAAUCCUUAUAAAACGCGUAUCCUUUAAUAAAAAAAUCAAAGAAUGGCUUUUGAUGAAAGAUAUUUUGUCAUGGAGUCGAAUUCUAGUGCAUUAAUAAGAUGCCACAUGUCAUCAUUGAUGCAUGCUCACACAAAAACCAUUACUAAAAUUAUGGAGAAGAUAUGUCGCUCUUGUGAAUUUUACUAUGAGCUCAUUGUGUUAAAACUCUCUAAAACAUCGACAAUUCCAUGCAAGAGUUUCUACUCUAUGACACCAGAUGGAUAGAAAAAUCGAAUCUGGGAUUGAUAUUUGGCUGAGUUUUUGCCUUGCUCUGCUAGUGGAAAAUGGAAAUAGCCUGGAUUGAGCUGUUUGGAGUUGCCGUGUGGAGGACGCAACCUUAAGAUGAUCUAAUGGCUUUGCCUCAUCCAGGAGACUACCCUGUUUUCAUUAACACUCGAAAAGACCGAUUGAUUGUACCUGGAGUGUUUCUCCUGUGUUAGGUAGUUCUGUCGUCUAUGCAUAGUUUACAGCUUCUCUUUUGCAAGCAAUCAUAUAUUGUUCACUCAAAUCGAUCGUGCAUUUCUCAGUUCUUUUCCGUUUGCGCUUUUAUGGGGCGUGCUAAGUUCAAUGAUAAUUCCGACCAAAAAAAAAAGUUCAAUGAUAACUGCUAGGAAAACUUCACUGAUGCGGGAUGGAUGCAGUUGUCUCUGUCUAUGGGGAGUUUCAUAGCUAUUUUAGCUUUUUCAGCAGUUCCUCUAUACUUUAGACGUAUCGGAUUUGCUUUUUAUCUUGGUAUGCCUCCCCAACAACGUUGCUGUUGGGCAUGAAAGUUGCGAAGAAAAUGAGAUCAGCUAGGGAGAAGAAGCUAAGGACGCCUCUUCCUUUGUCCAUAUAGACAGUAAACGGAAAAAAUAUGCACGCUCACUUAGUUUGUAUGAAAAUGGAAAUUCUUGGGCGUACCUUCGUCCAUUAUGUUCUCUAGUAGUCGAAUAUGUAGGCAAGGAUCGUACAAGACGUAUAGCCCGGGCGCACUUGGAUUGUAAUUGGAGUGCUCCUGUCCCUCCAGGGAGAAAUGGAGAAUUUUUUUUCGGUUGAAUUAGGUGAAUUGGUUCUAGGAAUAGUUCCUUUCGUGCUCCUUGCUGGCAAUGCAAAAGCAGUCCCAACAAAUUGUUUACUGGUCAACGGAUAAAAAAAGAAGAAGGAAAGCCAUCGCCUCGGUGACCUUUAGAUAAGAGGAAAGAAGGGGCAUGGGCGCGCAGAAAGGGGAGGAGGGAAGGAAGAAAUAUAAAAGAGAGGGGAAAAAAUGAAAAAAUUGUUUCGGACACCCGAUAAGUCAGAUUAACUACGUUUUGCAGUGCCUCAGUAAGUAUUCAAGUCAUUUAUUCAUACGAUAAUUUUCGAAAUUAGGUCAAAUAUUCGAAAUUAUAUAAGUUUGAGCUACAAAAUCCGAUUUUAGAGUUAUUAAGCUAUGGAAUUUUAUGAAUAUCAUGGAUUAGGGCAUUAUCAAGUCAUGGGUUUUGAUUAGAGUCGAUUUGAAGUAACAAUUUAGUCAGAGUGAGAUUCUGAAGUUUCGACUUGAGCUCCGUGUUAAGAAUAAUUUUGAAUAUCUAUUUUAGACAACAUUUUUGUUAGUGCGUAGGAGUUGCUUUGUCAGCGAGUAAACUUGAUUUAGCUAAUUCGUAGUUAAGUUAGUCUCUUACUCAACUUUGACGUUAUUUCUCGCUUGUUUGAGAAGAUUAUGAGUUUGACAAUUUGAGUAAUCUUUAUUAUUUGAUCAUAGGUGUUAUCAGGUGAGUUGUACCAUCUCUUUUAUGAAUUUAUAAACUCAUGUCGUGAAAUCAAUAGAAAUUCGAUAUAUUAUGAUUUCUCAUGUUUACUGUAUAAAAUUUGGAUCGGACAUUUAUAACUUUUUGAUUAUUUGUGAAUGCCAUGAGAAACGUUUGAAACAUUUUGAAAUGUUAUGAGCAUUAUGACAUGAAUUCCAAAAUGGUGUGAGAAAUGUCCUUAUAAAAUGUAUGUCAUAUUGAUAAAUGGAGUUGAGAGAGAUUAUAUAUUUUGAGUUUACGAAACCUUUUUGUAAAAGAAUUACGAAAAACUCUUGACUUUGAGUAUUGUUUAUGAAAUAUUAUAUGUAUUGAUUUGUGAAAUGCUUUAUGAAUAGACUCUAUUCGAUAAAUUUAAGUUGUGAAAGGUGAUUUAAUUCGAUUUGUGAAACUGGUUUAUGAGAUGAAUUAUGAUUUUGAUUGUGAGAUUAUUGGAGAAUAUGAGGUUUAUGCUUAUGUGGCUAGAAAUCUUUUGAAGGGGGAGUAUGCUAUCGCCACCUACCCCUCAGAGGAGAAAAUAGGUUUAGAGGUAUUGCGUAAAUAGGGUCUUAUGGCCCAUGAUCAGGCACAUGCUUUCCUAAACUUAUAUUUCGCGCAAGUUGAGGUGUUCAUAAGAAUUUUGUAAUAAAGAGUCACUAUUAACCUAUAAAUCAAGUGAGAUGUGUGAGUAUACCUCACUUCCUACAUAACUAGAAAAUCUAUGAUCAGAGACUUCAUUACAUUAAUUGACAAACUAAUGCCCUUUCGAUACCUAAUAAUGUUCAUAUGUUUGAAAAAAAAAAUUAUCAAGCAGUUUAAAUUAAUUUUAGGCUUAUCCACUAACGUAAGAGGUGAUCAUGGAGGUGCGUAAUCAUCAACAUGAUAAAAAUGCCAAAAACGAAAGUAUGCGAAUAAGGGUAAUUGUCUUUGAAAACCGUUAAAACUCUAAGAUAAAAUCCUAAGGGCUUAAAUUCUUGGCACAACUUUAGAGUUAUGAAACUUCCAUUUUUUUAAGAAAAUAGCUUAGAAAGUCUGUUUUUAAAAUUUCUCAAAUGAAAUUUUGAAUUUUCUAAGAUUUUUGAAUUUUUUGAAUUUUCUGAUUUUUUUAUUUUUUUAAUCAAUUUUUUGAAAAAAAAAUCGAAUUUUCAAUAUUUUCUAAAAGCUUUUGAAUUUUUUAGUGUUCUUCGAAAGUUUUUGGAUUUUUAUUUUUUUUCCAUUUUCAGAAAAAUUCUGAAUUUUUAAAUUUUUUUAAAUAUUUUUGUGAUAUUUAAUAUUAUUAUACCGGGGAAAGGCUCGGAUCGGGUAAACCCGAUCCGACCCGCUGAUCCAAUCCAAACUCAGGUUGGACCCAAUCAAAACAACCACCGCGGCAAAGCAAAUCCACACGUUUCUUUUAUUUGCCUUGCCCAAUUUGAAUUUUGAAGAAGGAACCAUUUUUUUUUAUCUUGUUGCUAGAGGUUUCCUAAUUAAUAAUCAGAAAUAUUGGUAGAAAAAAGAAUUAUCCGCACGAUUCUUUCUACAAUUUACAAUUAAAUAUUAUGAUUAUAUCACCAAAAAAAUUUACUUUGAUUCUGAUAAACUACCUAAUUGUUCGCUAUAAAUACAAAAAUAUAACUAAAUAAAAUAUAAAUAAUUUGACUUAGGGCUCCACUUAACUUAAUAAGUGAAUUUUAAUUCAAAGAAAAAAAAGCAUGAAGCUUAAAUAACUCACUCAGAACACCCUCUAAAGGAUUACGUGUGGUACGAGAAUAAGCCCUUAAACUUUAAGAGCAAAGGCGGUUCUCUCUCUCUCCUUCUCUCGCCCCCUCAGUGACACUCUUUUUCCUUUUCCUUUUCCUCGUCGCCCUUGGGGUGGUACCCGGGCAGCUUUUCCUUGAUCUUCUCCAGCAACCCCUUCUUCUCCUUGGGAGAUCCGUCCUGGUAUGGCGGCUCCACCGGCGCACGCUCUGCCGGAGGGGGCGGCGGCGGAGGAGAAUAGACUUCGUCGGCCUUCUUGUGACCUCCAGGCAGUUUAUCCUUUAGCUUAUCGAGGAAGCCCUUCUUUUCAUCCGCUGGCUCACCGGGCUCGUCGCACUUCUCCACAGGGACGGUCGUAUCCUCCUCGUACUUCUUCUCUUCUUCCUCCUUCUUCUUCUUCUCUUUCUUCUCCUUCCUCUUCUUCUUCUUUUCCUCCCCCUCUCCUUCCUCUUCGCCGGACUGCACAUUUCAUAUAUGACACACAGUUAGUGAUCUGUUUACGACUCCGGACAGCAAACAUCACUUAUACCGGAGCAGACUCCUGUCCAUGAUCACCGCAAUAUGCCCAUCAGUGCACGCACGAUCACGAUCAAGAAACAAGCCAAAACUAAUACACAACAAGAAGACCCAGAGAAAGAGAGAGAGAGAGGUGGGAAAGUGAGGGAUGGGGCAACUUACAGAGCUGGAGCUGUUGCUAUCAGAUCGGUGGAAUUUCUCCAAGAGGCUAUGCUUCUUCUCCUUCUCUUUAUCCUCCUCCACCACGCACUCUUCCACCUUCACCUUCUCCUGGAACUCUGCCACCUUCACCUCCUCCUGCUUCGUCUCGCCCUCCUCCUCCUUCUUCUUCCCCAUGAAGUCGAACAGCCCGCGAUCCUGGGUCUCCACCGUCCCUUCCUGGACGACGGGGGUCUCGCACUCGUGGGUGGUCUUGCUCUCGUGAUCCAUUACUCGAAACACACACCGCUGCUGCGACCAACGACCGGCGAUCUUCGAAGUAUGCGGUAAUGCGAAUGAUAAAAGACGACAGACGUAUUCCUCGGAGCUUUUUCUGGUGUUUCUCGAUGGGUUUUCUGUGUGAUGAUGCUGAGGAAUAAGCUGGGUGGCGGGGGGUUUUUUAUAGCAUCGAACCGAACACGGAGACAACGCUAUUAAGGGAUGAAAUUAUGAAGAGAUCUAAAGGUGGGGCCCACCCAGGCCAAUCCGGUCGCGCUUCCGUAACCGACGUUGCGCAUUCAGACAGAUAGGCGCAGCCAACCAAAAAAGGGAAGCGCGGGACGCGCGGACGCGGAGAGCGAACGCACUCGCCCGCCUCGCUCGACACCUGUUUUGCAGGCGGGGGAAUUUCUUUCUCAACGAGCGCGUUCGCGCGUGGGCUUGUGGCGUACGCAAGAGGGGGGAGCUGGAAAGGCACAGUCAAACGGAGAGAAAAUAAAGAGAGAGGGAAGGAGGGGGGGCGCGCUGUCUAACCACUAGGAAGAGGACACGUGGAAGGCAUCGUGGGAGGAUGUCCUUGGUGGGGCCCGCAGAUGUCGGCCUUCAGUUUAGCGGAAGGUCGGCAUGGGGGCCCACGGAGCUCACGUGGCUGGUAUGGCGCCUCGCUUCCAUGACUUUCGAAAUUGGGGUUUAUAUAUAUAUAUUUUUGUCAAUAAAAGAAAAUUAUAGGUUAGGGUUCAUAUCAGGGGUGAUGAUUUGCCACACGACAUGAUAACAUAGCGUGACGUUAAUGGGGUUAUAUUCAAGUUAGGCGUGCUGGCAAAAAUUUCAUGUCAAUCCGCAAAAUACGAUUUAUAGUCGUGUAAUAUUCAUGUUCAAUUCAUAAGACAUAAAAUUGACUCAAUUAACUUAUUAGUGUUCAUUUUCUAUGUUAUUCACUGUUAAGAUUUUUAAAUUUAUGAUUCUUCGUUUCCUAUAAACAUAUAUAUAUAUAUAUAUAUAUAUAUAUAUAUAUAUAUAUAUUUUUGAAAUACAAUAUUUCAUUAUUGCAUGUAUAAUUCAGAAUAUUUAAUGUUAUGUUCAUGUUGGUGGGUUUAUUUCGUGUUAUAGCAAGUUAUGUAAACGUAUUAACCCAUCAUAUAAUCGUGUUACAGGAGCUAUAUCAUGUUACCCCAUUAAAUUUUUGGAUUGUAUUCGGGUCAAGUAAGUCGACACAAUUAACUAAUCAUGUUUUGUUCGGGAUGACUUAUUUCGUAGUGCAACUUUAUGUUGACACAACACAAACGCCACCUGCAAACAUGAAUUGCCAUUCCCAAUUUAUGACCAUCGAAACUAAUGGUCAUUACUCUAAACCAUUCAUGAAAUUUAAAACGACACUUUAUAAAACUAUGACUAAAUGUAAGUUAUUUUGACAAAUUAUUAGGGAUGACCGUAGUUUUGUUCAAUUUGCCAAGUCAAAUUAAACCCAAUUUCAUUGCACUAGAGAGGUAAUUUAAAAAAUUCAAUUCAUAAAUAGCACCAAACUACCAAAUCGAAUAGUAUUGUACUAUACCAUAAUUUUAUAUCCGAUCUUUACCUCAAGCUGAGUUUUGGGCCUGGAGCAUGCGAGGUCAAGUCGAGCUCAAGUCUAGCAUCAUAUCAAUGCAACAUGGCCACAACCUGAUUUCAACCUCACUUAGUCUAGUCCGAAAUCCAAUUUCCCAAAACACAUUAUCUCAAUUUCGAUUCAACUUUUCAUUUGAGUUGAAUGAAACUGUAUUGUGCUCAUCACAACAAAUCACAAUAAAAUAGAUUGUUGCAUCGAGAGGCCAUGGAAAUGCUGGAUUCACAGCGCAUCAGAAGACUCAACAAAUCUAGAAAUAAGGCAACUCGAAGAUCAAUCUAUUUCUGCAAAAAUCAAAUAUGAAAAAAAAAAGAAAAAGAAAAAUGGGUUGGGAUUGAUUUGUGGGCUACCGACAUGGCUAGGGGAGAGGGGGAGCUUCGAGAUCUGUGAUAGGUAGGUGCACUCUCAGGGUGUGGCCCUCUCAUUGAUGAAAAUGUCCACCCUGCAUCGGGCAGGUCAUAAGAGAGAAGCGCGCCCUUGAGAUCGCCUACCGAUGUGAAUUGAUGUAGUCAAAGUGCAUGAAAACUAGUUAGAGCACCUCCAAACUAUUAUUACCCAAAAAUGGUCCUCUUGGGUAUUUCUUUUUUUUUCACCAUAUCGGGUUUAAGGUUGUCGCUUUUUAAAAGAUCCAUUACUUCAGGCAGGCUUAGUGGACAGUGAAUUAGUUGAGUUAAAGUGCGCCGAAGCCAGUUAAGACCUUUUUUUUUUUUUUUUUGUCGAAAGCUAAUUAAAACAUUACCUAUCUAUUUUUUGUUUUUUUCGUCAGGUGGAGUGAUUGAGAUCAUCGCUUUCUAAGGAUACGUUGCUUCGGGCGGACUCCAUGGACAGAUGGUCGGUGGAGUGUCACCAAUGCUCUUUGUUUUCCCGAUGCCCGGAAUUGCAAAAGAGAACUUCAAUGGCCGGGUACAGCGGCAAGCCCCUCUCAAUUUGCAACGUACGGCUCCUCGUCUUAAUCGAGCUGACAGCUGCACGUGCGCGUGUUUUGUCGGUUUCUUUUACAUCUGUAUCUCUCGCUUGGACCGGGUUCCUGAGAUCGGCAGACCUGUCCAGCCCGAAACAUCAAGGCCGAUCAGAUUUUUUCUUAGCCCAAGUUGACAGGUCUCGAUUGAUGGGAAAUAAGCGGAGGCCUCCGAAUGGGUGAAAUGAGCUUCGUUCCUUUCCCUUUGUAAUGAGAAAUCUCAGUUUAACUAGGUAAACACCUAAGUAGCAUCGACACCGAUACACAACACGUGAUAUAACAUAACAUGUCAAUACGUCGUUCCUAAAAAAUAAAAAAUUCUGACACAUUGGAACACGUUGUAUACAUAUAUACGUAAUAAUUUAUCAUUUUAUAAUUAUUUCAAUCAAAUUAAUUUGAUUUGAAUUCACAAAUAAAUAAAUAAUAAUAAAAGGCGAGAAUGAAUUUAUACUCAAAAUAUUAAUGUACUAUUUAUUAAUAUCAUUUAUUGUUUCAAUUUGAUGAAUUAAACUCUAUUUUAAUAAUUCAUAAAACUUGGAGAGAGAGAAAAAAAAACAAGCAAUUCAUAUUUUGGAUUUGCGUGUUAGACAUGUCAGAUGGGAAAAGAAAAAAAAAAUUGGGGUUGAAUUGUGUAUCACAGGAAAUAAGAGUCAGAAAAUAAGAGAAGAUUAGUAUUUUAAGAGUCAGAAAAUAAGAUAAGAUUAGUAUUUUUUCUUUCCCCAUUUAUUAUAUUUAUUAUUGUUUUUUUUUCACAUAUAUAAAUUUUGACCCAUUAUUUAUUGAAAUUUUUUAAAAUUGACCUCAUGUGUUUGAGUCACAUGUCGAAAACUCGCAUUUUAGUGUCGGAGAGUGUUAGGAAAACUGACUAGAUGUCGAACUUUUUGACUCGUGUUAACCAAAUGUUGGAGAGUGUUGAACACAUGUUGGUGUGUCGGACACGACACCAAAGCUCUUGAAGAGUGUUGGUACUUCUUAAGUAAACAUGAGGUCCACGAAAAUAAGGUAUCACGUUGACUACCUAUAUCGAGUAAGAAGCGAGUUAAAAUCUAACAAUAUUGUAGGGUAGUCUAGAAGGAGUAGACCAGACAGUGUGAUAAGCGUUUGCACCAUAAAAUGACCAAUUUUGGUUAUUAUGAUUAAGCAAUAGAUUUAGUUGAUGAGAGUAAGGUUUGAUCAAUUAUGAAUUGAAUUAUUGACAACUUGAUGAAUCGGUAGCUUGAAAUUUAUUUUUAACCUCUGUUGAUAAUCAUCAAUCAUAGGGCUUAAUAGUCAUAUCAUACUCUUUGGAGACUCAUUGCACAAAGAAACAAACACGUUAUCUUUCAAAACCUGCAUAGUUUUCAGACUUUUGAUAUCGAUUAAAUUCCGAUGUAUUUCUUAACUAUUGUUUCUAAAUUGCAUCAUCGAUUAAAUUUUAGUGUGUAUCUUGGCCACAUAUCUUAAGUGCCUUGUCGUUAAUUAAACUAUAGCGUUGCAUCUUUACAUUCUUAGGCCUUUUCGUGGAUUCCAUUUCGGUAUAGUUUGUGUAUAUUUGGUUCUAUUCGAAGUGGUUAUGUUAUCAUGUUUUUUUGUCGAUUAAAUUACACACAAUUUGUGUUUGAAGUAAAAUUAUCAAUUCUCUUGCCUAUCCGUGAUAUUUUCCAUUUGAAAUCCCUACAAAACUUGUCUCCUCUAAUAAAAAAAAUCAAAAAAUGGCUUUCGAUGAAAAAUAUUUUAUUACGGAGUUGAAUUUCAACGCAUCAGUAAGAUGCCGCAUGUCAUAAUUGAUGCGUGCCCACACAAAACCCAUGAAGAAGAUAUGUCGCUUUUGUGAGAUCUACGAGUUUAUUGUGUUAAAACUCUCUAAGACGGACAUUUCAUGCAAGGGUUUUCACUCGAUGAUGCUAGAUAGAUAGAACAAUCGAAUCUUGGACAGACCCAAACAUAUGCUGACUUAACAAUUAGUAUGUAGGACUGGGAGACGAAAGGGUUUCUGGUCCCUUCGAUAUUUCGUAUCCCCUUCCCGACACCAUAAUGCGGCUGGGAUUGAUAUUUGGCUGAGUUUUUGCCUUGCUAUGGUUGUGGAAAAUGGAAAUAGCCUGGAUUGAGCUGGUUGGAGUUGCCAUGCGGAGGAUGCAACAUUAAGAUGAUCUAGUGGCGUUGUCUCAUACAGGAGACUACCUGUUUUCAUUAACACUUGCAAAGACCGAUUGAUUGUACCUGGAGGGUUAGGUAGUUCUGUAGUCUAUGCAUAGUUUACGGCUUUUCCUUUGCAAGCAAUCAUAUAUAGUUCAGUCAAAUCGAUCCUGCAUUUCUCAGUACUUUUCUCUUUGCACUUUUACGUUGCGUGCUAAGUUCAAUGAAAACUGCUAGGAAAACUUCACAGAUGCAGGAUGGACGUCUAGUGGUCUUUGUCUCUGGGGGGGCUCAGAGCUAUUUUUAGCUUUUUCAGCAGUUUCUCUAUACUUUAGACGUAUCGGAUUUGCCUUUUUAUCUUGGUAUGCCUCACAAGGCCAAAGCUGUUGUGCACGAAAGUCGAGCGAAGAAAAUGAGAUCAGCUAGGUAAAAGAAGCUAAGGACUCCUCUUUUCUUGUCCAUAUAGACAGCAAACGGAAAAAUAUGCACGCUCACUUAGUUUGUAUGAAAAUGAAAAUUCUUGGGCGUACCUUCGUCAUUAUCUUCUCUAGUAGUCGAAUAUGUAGGCAAGGAUCGUACAAGACGCAUAACCCGGGCGCAAUUGGAUCGUAAUUGGAGUGCUCCUGUCCCUCCAGGGAGAAAUGGAGAUUUUUUUUUCGGUUGAAUUAGGUGAAUUGGUUCUAGGAAUAGUUCUUUUCGUGCUCCUAGCUGGCAAUGCACAAGCAGCCCCAACAAAUUGUUUAUGAAAGUGCUAGCUUUAGUGUAAGAGUUGAGGCAGUUUGACUGGUCAACGAAUAAAAAAGAAAAGAAAAGGAAAGCCACCGCCUCGGCGACCGUGAGAUAACAGGAAAAAAGGGGGCAUGGGCGCGCAGAAAGGGGAGGAGUAGGGGUGAUCGGUUCCCGGUUCGGUUCGGUUCCAAGGUGGAACCGGGAACCGGACCAGGAAAACCGGUUCCCAAUUUUGGGAACCGUGGACCGGACCAUCAGUUCCGGUUUGGUCCGGUUCGGUCCAAUAGGAUCGGCACUUUCUUUUUUCACUAAAUAACGACCAUUCAUUAAAGAACGACCAUGCUCCGAAUCGAUCAAUUCAAUUCGGUUCCCGGGCGAUCUAAUAAAACUACUCACACAUAUUUUCACGUGCAAAAUAUUCAAACUUCACUUGCGUGAAUAUUAAUCAUAAUUUAUGUGUUUCACUCUUAAUUUUAAGCAUAAAAGCUAUGAACAAUUUGAAUAAAAUCUGUGCUUGGCUUAUGUUUUAUAAACAAUCUCUCUUCUAUGCUUUGAAUGUUUAGUCAAUGUUAGACUCUUUGAGGCUUGAAGUGCCUUAUCGUUUGCAAGUGAGGGGAGCAAGAGAGAGAGUGAGCAUGAGGAACGCCUAGAGCCUUAUCCCACAUCGAGGAGAAGAUAAAACUAACAAUAAGUUUUCUAAGAGCUUUGGUGGUCUCUUGGCCACAUAAGGGGUUGUUACCUCAAUUGCAAUUCCGAUUGCAACAAGUUUCAUAUAUAAUAUUCAUAUAUUAUAUAUGUUUAUAUAUUAUAUGUAUAUAUAUUAUAUAUAAAAAAAUUUGGUCCAGUCCGGUUGGUCCAGUUGGUCCGGUUCCCACCUUGGAACCGAGAACCGGACCGCCGACCGUGGGAACCGCCCAAAACUGGCUAGUCCAGUCUUGUCCGGUCCGGUCCAGUCUCAGUUCAGGCGGUUUCUGUUGCACAUCCCUAGGGAGGAGGGAAGGAAGGAAUAUACAAGAGAGGGGAAAAAAUUAAAAAAAAAAAUUUGUUUCAGACACCUGAUAAGUCAGAUUAAUUACGUUUUGCAGUGCCACGGAAAGUAUUCAAGUCAUUUAUUCAUACAAUCAUGAUAAUUUUCGAAAUUAGAUCAUAUAUUCGAAAAUAUAUAAAUUUGAGCUACGAAAUCCAAUUUUAGAGUUAUUAAGCUGUGGAAUUUUAUGAAUAUCAUCGAUUAGGGCAUUAUGAAGUCGUGGGGUUUGGUUAGAGUCGAUUUAAAGUAACAAUUUAGUCAGAGUGAGAUUAUGAAGUUUCACUUGAGCUCCGCGUUAAGAAUAAUUUUGAAUAUCUAUUUUAGACAAGAAUUUUACUUGCUUUGUUAGCAAGUAAACUUGAUUUAGCUAAUUCGUAGUUAAGUUAAUGUUUUACUUGACUUUGACAUUAUUUCUCGCUUGUUUGAGAAGAUUAUGAGUUCGACGAUUUGAGUAAUCUUUAUUAUUUGAUCGUAGAUGUUAUCGGGUGAGUUAUACCAUUUCUUUUACGAAUUUAUAAACUCAUGUCGUGAGAUUGAUAGAAAUUCGAUAUAUUAUGAUUUAUGAAAGAACAUGUUUAUUGCGUAAAAUUUGGAUCAGACAUUUAUAACUUUUUUAUUAUUUGUGAAUGCCAUGAGAAAUGUUUAAAAGGUUUUGAAAUGUUAAUUAGGUUUAUGACAUGAAUUCCAAAAUGGUGUGAGAAAUGUCUUAUGAAAUGUAUGUCCUGUUGCUGAAUGGAGUUGAGAAAGAUUAUAUACUUUGAGUUUACGAAACCUUUUUGUAAAAGAAUUAUGAAAAACUCUUGACUUUGAGUAUUGUUUAUUAAAUAUUAUAUGUAUUGAUUUGUGAAAUGUUUUAUGAAAUAGACUCUAUUCGAUAAAUUUGAGUUGCGAAAGGUGAUUUAAUUCGAUUUGUGAAACUAGUUUAUGAGAUGAAUUAUGAUUUUGAUUGUGAGAUUAUUGGAUAAUGGGGUUUAUGCUUAUGUGGCUAGAAAUCCUUUGAAGGGGGAGUAAUGCUAUCGCCAUCUACCCCUUGGAGGAGGAAAUAGGUUUAUGAGUAUUGCCUAAAUAAGGGCUUAUGGCCUAUGAUCAAGCAUGAGCUCUUCUAAAUUUAUAUCUCGCGCAAUGUUGGGGUUUUCAUAAGAAUUUUGUAAUAAGGAGUUGCCACUAAUGGCACGUUUGGUAACGUUUCUGUUAUUAGGAAUAAUUCUGUUCCAGAGAACAUUUCUAAGCAUUUUAAGCCGUUUGGUAACUAUUCAAAAUUUCAAUUCCAGGAAUAGAAUUGCGCUUGGUACCGUACUCAAAAUUUCUACUCCAAAUUAUUUUCUUUUAAUUUUUAAAUAAUUUUAUUACUUUUUUUUUCUUUUUUCCUUUUCUUCUUCUUCUCCUCCUGCUCCUCCUCCUUCUGCUCCUUCUUCUUCUCCUUCUCCUUCUCCUUCUGCUCCUUCUGCUUCUUCUCCUCCUUCUCCUCCUUCUCCUUCUCCUUCUCCUUCUUCUUCUCCUGUUGCUCCUUCUCCUCCUUCUUCUCCUUCUCCUUCUUCUCCUCCUUCUCCUUCUUCUUCUCCUGCUGCUCCUUCUCCUUCUUCUCCUUCUCCUUCUUCUCCUUCUCCUCCUUCUUCUCCUUCUUCUUCUUCUUUAGACAAUGGCCGACAACCUCACCAAAGCGUCGCUGGCCCUUGGUGUGAGGCCGGUUGAGCCUCACUAGCAGCUUAGUAAGGCUCUGUCGAGCCAUGGCUGGACGAGUAGCCUCGCUAGAUCUGGGUGAGGUCGAGCCUCACCCAGCCAUGGCUCGCCUGAGCCUCGACAAGGCUAGGCGAGCCUCACUAGUGGCUGGGCUUGCUUUCGACAAGCUCACUAGACCUUGCCGUGGCUUGGCGAGCCUUCAGCGAGCUUGUCAAACUGGUUGCUAGCGACCGACGGCGAUUGGCGGCAGCGACGACGGUGGCAGUAGAUGAAAUAGAAGAAAAAAGGAAGACCACCAAGAAAAAAGAAAAGAAAAAAAGAAAAUAGGUGUUUGAUUCUAGAAUUGUUCCUGGAAACUAGAAUCGACUUCUUUUUUUAUUCUCAAUUCUACUUCAAAUCUGUUCCUGAAAACAACAUUUUUAUUAAACUAAUUUUUGUUCCAAAACUAUUUCCGGGAACAAAAUAAUAGAAAUUAAUACUGUUUAGCAAGUUAACAAACAUGUCAUAACCUAUUGGGGUCGGCCAAAACUUAAGUGAGGCAUGCGAGUGUACCUCACUUCUUACGUAUUUAGAUAAUCUAGGGUUGGAGAUUUAAUUACACUAAUUAACAAAUUAGUGCCUUUUCGAUACCUAAUUUUGUUCAUUUUUUUUUUAAAAAUAGAUUUUUGUCAAGUAGUUUAGAUUAAUUUUAGGCUUAUUCACUUACGCAAGAGGUGAUCAUGGGGAUGCAUAAUCAUCAACAUAAUAAAAAGGCCACCAAAGAAAGCAUUAAAUAUAUUGCAUGGGAUAUAAUACGUAACAUCAAGGAAAAAUAUAAAUAUCAAUCCUAACUAUACUAAAGGGAGCCACAACAAUGAAAGCAUGCGAAUAAGGGUAAUUGUCUCUGAAGACGGUUAAAACCCUAAGAUAAAACUCUAAAGGGCUUACUUAAACUUUUGGCACAACUUUAGAGUUAUUAGCUUCCAUUUUUAAGAAAAUAGCUUAGAAAGUCUGUUUUUAAAAUUUUUCAAAUGAAAUUUUGAAUUUUCUGACAUUUUUUAUUUUUUUUUGAAUUUCUAAUUUUCUAUUUUUUAAUCAAUUUUUUGGAAAAAAAAUCGAAUUUUUACUAUUUUCUGAAAUUUUUUGAAUUUUUUAAUGUUCUCCCAAAUUUUUUGAAUUUUCAGAAAGUUUUUGGAUUUUUAAUUUUUUCCAUUUUUCGAAAAUUUCUGAUUUUUUAAAAUUAUUAAAUAUAUUUGUUGAUAUUUAAUAUUAUUAUAUCGGGGAAAGGGCUUGGACCGGGUAAACCCGAUCCGAUUCAAACCAGGUUCGACCCAGUCGGGUCACGGAAAGAAAGAAAUUUCUGAGUUUUUUUUAGUUCUUUAUUGAUUUUUCUGUUUUCCUCUCUUUUUCUCUUUUGUCUUUUCCUUACUUUGUCCUUUUCCCCUUGCACUCCUUCUUCUUAACCGAACGUCGCCGUCCUUUCUUUCCUUUUGUCUUUUUUUCAUUUCUUUUCAUUAUCCCUUUUUAUUUCUUUUUCUUUUCUUUUCCUUUUACUUUUCUCUACCCUUUUGGUCUUCUUCUUCGUGCAUUCUCUGCACGCCCGAAGGGCCGAAGCCACCAUCUCUCCUACACUUUUUUUUCACCGAAACUCAUCGACCAAACCAACGCCAUUUCAAACGAGCCUCACCGCCCUUCGUCAUCAGCAUCGACACCGCCCGCGCUCAGGCCACCGCCGAGCCGACACCCACUCUCUCACCUAUACGACAAGGAGGAAGACGGGACACGACUUGCACAAAAAUAAGCCCGAAUCAAAACCUAUGGCCACCUGCCUUUAAUCACGACAAUGUAAACUUGAAAUGGACGAAAAAAAAGCGUGUAGAACAGCAGCAAAACACAUCUAGCAACGGCGGACGCACAAAGGUUCAGGGAUAGUCAUGCGAGCUUCACUCAGGCAUUUGUACAAACAGUUCGCGAGCAUUACCAAACGUUUAGAUUUCCGACUCAACCGGGACUCGAAAUGGGACCAGGAUUCUUGGAAAACGACCAGAAACACACACAGACUUGGCUAAAGACCUACGGGGGCCGGAGGGACCGAAGCUCUUGCGAACGGGUCGGCCACGAGCUCCGGUUCGACGCCUUACAAAAGCAGAGCAUACAUGACCAGAGAAAACCUACUUGGUUUGGUUCGGUGGGUGUGCCGCGGCGGACGGCGGCGGACGGACGGGCCACCGACGACAUUACGUUCUGGAGAAUGAAGGUAAUUUUGGCGAUUUCUCUCUCCAUCGUCGCGUGAAUGCGUGUGUACAUAUGUAUCGCGCUGCAUGUGCGUAUAUCAGUGCAUACGACCUCUGCAUAUGCCCUGCUGGACAUAAGCAUGCUUUGCUUGCGGAUUAUUGGAUCCUCCCGGAUGUUUCCUGAGGAUUUUUGGGCACGAGGCGGUGGGGUAAGCUCGAUGACUCCGAUCGUUUGUUCUCUUUAAUCAGUCAUUUGGCACCUUAGUUUCUUCAUCUUUGUCCACUACUCUAUCUUGAUGGGAGAGAAUGAGGAUUCAGGGAGUCCAGUGGAUGCCUGAAUUCGUCUAAGCUCAGCUCUUUAAUGUUAAACACGACUGGUGUAAACUGCUGAACUGCAAAGAACUUUUCUUUCACUUGAAGUUUUAUCAUCUGCGCUGCCCGGCAUUUGAUAGUAUUUCGGAAAGUACACAUUACAGUAAAUUAGAGGGAACAUUUUGUCUCUAAAUCUAUUGACAGAGCAAUGCUUAGGGUUGAUGUCUUUUUCAGUAGGGUCGUCCGGAUCUUCUCAUUAUGUUCUGGAAGUGUGAUUGGCUAUGUCUGCUUGAACGAGUUUAGGCAACACCUUUUCCACUUUGGGUUUACGAUUGCUUUCUUGAGAACAGAGUGCUGCUUUCUCACGUAUCAUUUGAAGAGUUAUUACAAGAAAAAUACAUGUAAGAGUCAAACUUGCUAGAUAUCCAAUGGAAAAGAUGCACGCAUAGAACAGAAGUAGUAUACGCUAUGAAUAUCAGAUCUCCAGAAGGAUGCUUGACUCUGAUAAGGUGCAGUAGUUUGAUUGAAGUUGGAUGAGUUUGAAUCAAGGCAAAUGUUAAAAAAAAAAAAAAAAAAAAAUUGAGUUUAUGAAUGAACAUGGACGAUUUUGAGCUUCAUUCAAGGAUGGCUAUGCAGCAAUCUAUGCAACAAGAAGCUUAUUAGUUUUCAGGUGGAGGCAGAAUAGUACCCAAUAGCCAAUAAUGCUUCCGCUCCCAUGCAUUUUAGAUUUGCUGUUAACUUUAAUACUAACUUGCCAGAGCAUGGGCUCUAUCCUUGUAUUUUUUUUUCGCUCUUUGCUGAUGUUAAAGAUCAUGCUGUUGUUUCUAAGAUUAGUUUGAUCUUCAUUUUGUAGGAAACGACACUAGAAGUGCCAUAACUUUCAUACAACGCACGCUUUGGCGCCAAAAAUUUUCGUCCAAUCACUUAGGUGCCACUUUUUAAAGAAAAAAACAGUAACUUAAGUGCUAACUCUGAUUUGGGAUGUCAAAAAUCUAACGUGUCAAUAUUCUCUAACAUUUCUUUUGAUUGACAUGGCUUGCCGGCAUGCCCAAUGAGCGUUAAUGGCCCUAAAUGACACCUUUUCACACAUGAUUGCCCAAAAUUCAACCUCUUCUUCAAAACUUAACCUCUUAAUAGAUGAUUUGGGGGAAAAUUCAGCCUCUUUCUCAAACACGAACAUCACAACUGUGGAUUUGGGACAAAAUUAUUCACUAAAACUUGCAAUAGACGUCUACUAUUUCAUUUGUGAUAAUUUGUCUAACCAGAAUUGCAAUUUUUAUACUGGAUUGAGGAUGGAUGGUAACAGAAAGCCGUGAUGGACGACGGUUCAGAUGCUGGGAAAAAGAAAUAUAGCAUGAAUAUGUCUCAGAUUAAGAGAACGAGGGACAACUAAUUGGUGGUAGUGACGACAAUGCCAAGGGACAUGACAACGAGGUAGACAAUAGGAAAGGAGAUGGAGUUGAGGGAGAGGAGGAGGACAGCAUUGCCCUUGUGGAUGCCUGUGGCUGAGAAGUGAUGGAGUCAACGGGGUGCUAGUGCUCGCGGAAAUAUUCGGAUGUGGAUCCGUGGAGGGAGGAGGAGGCAUUAGUGAAGGCCGGGAGCCACAGUGGGAAUUGUUAGAGCAAUUAAAUAUUAAACAGCACAUUCAUCUAAUAGCUUAAACUUUUAUAACAGUCUUACACAUUCUUACAUGAUAUCCUGAAUUUAAAUCUUUUGAGGUCCCUAUAUUUCCAUGCUCUAGGCUUAGGCUGAAGUUUAGAAUACACAUGAGGGGAAGUGUUAGAGUAAUUAUAUAUGAAACCACGCCUUCAUGAGGAGAUGAAAGUGGUGAUGUCAAGGGAGGGGUUGGGUUGGUUGCUAUUGAAGAUGAAAGGUCAGGUCAUUGGACUUCCUUUUUUAUAAGAAAGCCACAAGGACAUGAAAAUUUCAAAAAAAAAAAAAAAAAAAAAAAAAAAACGGUCACAUGCAAUGAAUUGCCGGAAUUUGUUGUGGAGGCACUUGAGUAAUCGAUUUUUCUCCAAUUUGACACUUAAGUGAUCCGACGAAAAUUUUUCGCACCAAAUUAAGCAUUGUACAAAAGUUACGGCACUUCUAGCGUCCUUCUCCCUCAUUUUGGUAUCUAUGAGAUAUUACAUUCAAAAUUUCCUUGUCUUUAGGAUUGUGGAGAGCAUUGGAGAAAAUGUCGACGAGGUAACGGAAGGGGAUGUAUUCAUUCCAACCUUCAUGUCAGAUUGUGGUGAAUGUGCAGAUUGUAAGUCAAAGAAGAGCAACUUAUGCUCAAAACUCCCCUUCAAGGUAUCUCCUCGAAUGCCUAGAUAUGAGACAAGCAGAUUCAAGGAUCUUAAUGGAGAAGUUCUAUAUCCCUUUCUGUUCGUGUCAAGCUUUAUUGAGUAUACUGUGGUAGAUGUUGCCCAUGUGACUAAGAUUGAUCCCGCAAUUGCUCCAAAUAGAGCAUGCCUCAUUGGUUGUGGGGUCUCGACAGGUGAAGCACAUUUUCUUUUCAAUCUCAGUAAAAGUAAUAGCUUCCCUCAUCAGGUCAAGACUUCUUGUAGCUGGUAUUUUCAUUUUGACUUCACGUGUUAAGAGGGAGCUGAUGUCUUAGGCUCUUUAUUUUUGGUUCACUGUUUGUGUGGGCGGCUCUUCCCAAGCCAACUAUUGGAUCUUCCUAUUGAUUUGCAUAUUCUCAUGCCAAUUCUGUCCAUUCAUACUUUCUGUAAAGCUUUUACUGUUGUUGCGGGGGCAUUUCAGCAUUAUGCUUUACCUAUGAAGUACAAGUCCAACCUUACUUAUUGAUUUAGGUUUCGAUGUGCUUUUUGGUCCUCAAGUAGAAUAUGCGUGCUCUGGCUAUUCAAAUGGCUUACACAAAUUAGUCUCUCAUUGCUUCACUACUAGUACUGGUCUUCAGGGAUGGUUAUAUUGAGUCAGAAAGAAAUUAGAUCAGAUGGGUGGGCUUUGGAAGGUCUUGUCUGAUUGCAUAUUGUUCUCAAUUUCUUCAUGUUUCCAACUUGCAUGAGCCUCUUGCAACAGAACUAUCUUAGCUAAUUUUGACUGACAUAGCAAAGAAUAGUGGAUAAAAUAAAUUUCUGAGAACUACUCGGAUCUGUUUAGGGGUUGGGGCUGCUUGGAGAACAGCAAGCGUGGAGGCGGGAUCAACUGUUGCAAUAUUUGGACUUGGUCUAAUUGGAUUAGAAGUAUGAAAUAUAACAAUGUUAUGUUUUCCUGUCAUGCUUUUCCAUCCAAUCAUUGAUCCAACAAUCAAAUUGAAACAGCAAGUUCAUGCCCAAAGGAUUCUGAGAAAGAUAAUGACUUAAAGUUGUCUCUGCAGGUUGUGGAAGGAGCAAGACUGUGUGGUGCUGCCAGAAUAAUAGGUGUGGAUAAGAACCCAGACAAGUUUGAAAUUGGUAAGACAUGUUGACUAGUUUGCAGUAAAAUUAUAAUACUCAAAAACUCCUGUGAUUCCUAGCAGUGGCAGAUAUGCAGUUAUUUCAUGCCAUAGCAGUUGUAGGGGAAACAGACUGCAAGUUCAGAUGAUAGACAAAGAAGCAAAGUUAGGAUUAAGAUCUUGGAAGGUCCAUGUUCAGUCAUUAUAAAAGUUAAUGCUUCUGAAGCAAAAAUCAAGUUCUGCUUGCCCAUGAUACGAUUUGUAAACGGGAAACUAUGCUGCUCAUUCAAGAAUGUGUGAUGUCUGAACAUCCGAUNNNNNNNNNNNNNNNNNNNNNNNNNNNNNNNNNNNNNNNNNNNNNNNNNNNNNNNNNNNNNNNNNNNNNNNNNNNNNNNNNNNNNNNNNNNNNNNNNNNNNNNNNNNNNNNNNNNNNNNNNNNNNNNNNNNNNNNNNNNNNNNNNNNNNNNNNNNNNNNNNNNNNNNNNNNNNNNNNNNNNNNNNNNNNNNNNNNNNNNNNNNNNNNNNNNNNNNNNNNNNNNNNNNNNNNNNNNNNNNNNNNNNNNNNNNNNNNNNNNNNNNNNNNNNNNNNNNNNNNNNNNNNNNNNNNNNNNNNNNNNNNNNNNNNNNNNNNNNNNNNNNNNNNNNNNNNNNNNNNNNNNNNNNNNNNNNNNNNNNNNNNNNNNNNNNNNNNNNNNNNNNNNNNNNNNNNNNNNNNNNNNNNNNNNNNNNNNNNNNNNNNNNNNNNNNNNNNNNNNNNNNNNNNNNNNNNNNNNNNNNNNNNNNNNNNNNNNNNNNNNNNNNNNNNNNNNNNNNNNNNNNNNNNNNNNNNNNNNNNNNNNNNNNNNNNNNNNNNNNNNNNNNNNNNNNNNNNNNNNNNNNNNNNNNNNNNNNNNNNNNNNNNNNNNNNNNNNNNNNNNNNNNNNNNNNNNNNNNNNNNNNNNNNNNNNNNNNNNNNNNNNNNNNNNNNNNNNNNNNNNNNNNNNNNNNNNNNNNNNNNNNNNNNNNNNNNNNNNNNNNNNNNNNNNNNNNNNNNNNNNNNNNNNNNNNNNNNNNNNNNNNNNNNNNNNNNNNNNNNNNNNNNNNNNNNNNNNNNNNNNNNNNNNNNNNNNNNNNNNNNNNNNNNNNNNNNNNNNNNNNNNNNNNNNNNNNNNNNNNNNNNNNNNNNNNNNNNNNNNNNNNNNNNNNNNNNNNNNNNNNNNNNNNNNNNNNNNNNNNNNNNNNNNNNNNNNNNNNNNNNNNNNNNNNNNNNNNNNNNNNNNNNNNNNNNNNNNNNNNNNNNNNNNNNNNNNNNNNNNNNNNNNNNNNNNNNNNNNNNNNNNNNNNNNNNNNNNNNNNNNNNNNNNNNNNNNNNNNNNNNNNNNNNNNNNNNNNNNNNNNNNNNNNNNNNNNNNNNNNNNNNNNNNNNNNNNNNNNNNNNNNNNNNNNNNNNNNNNNNNNNNNNNNNNNNNNNNNNNNNNNNNNNNNNNNNNNNNNNNNNNNNNNNNNNNNNNNNNNNNNNNNNNNNNNNNNNNNNNNNNNNNNNNNNNNNNNNNNNNNNNNNNNNNNNNNNNNNNNNNNNNNNNNNNNNNNNNNNNNNNNNNNNNNNNNNNNNNNNNNNNNNNNNNNNNNNNNNNNNNNNNNNNNNNNNNNNNNNNNNNNNNNNNNNNNNNNNNNNNNNNNNNNNNNNNNNNNNNNNNNNNNNNNNNNNNNNNNNNNNNNNNNNNNNNNNNNNNNNNNNNNNNNNNNNNNNNNNNNNNNNNNNNNNNNNNNNNNNNNNNNNNNNNNNNNNNNNNNNNNNNNNNNNNNNNNNNNNNNNNNNNNNNNNNNNNNNNNNNNNNNNNNNNNNNNNNNNNNNNNNNNNNNNNNNNNNNNNNNNNNNNNNNNNNNNNNNNNNNNNNNNNNNNNNNNNNNNNNNNNNNNNNNNNNNNNNNNNNNNNNNNNNNNNNNNNNNNNNNNNNNNNNNNNNNNNNNNNNNNNNNNNNNNNNNNNNNNNNNNNNNNNNNNNNNNNNNNNNNNNNNNNNNNNNNNNNNNNNNNNNNNNNNNNNNNNNNNNNNNNNNNNNNNNNNNNNNNNNNNNNNNNNNNNNNNNNNNNNNNNNNNNNNNNNNNNNNNNNNNNNNNNNNNNNNNNNNNNNNNNNNNNNNNNNNNNNNNNNNNNNNNNNNNNNNNNNNNNNNNNNNNNNNNNNNNNNNNNNNNNNNNNNNNNNNNNNNNNNNNNNNNNNNNNNNNNNNNNNNNNNNNNNNNNNNNNNNNNNNNNNNNNNNNNNNNNNNNNNNNNNNNNNNNNNNNNNNNNNNNNNNNNNNNNNNNNNNNNNNNNNNNNNNNNNNNNNNNNNNNNNNNNNNNNNNNNNNNNNNNNNNNNNNNNNNNNNNNNNNNNNNNNNNNNNNNNNNNNNNNNNNNNNNNNNNNNNNNNNNNNNNNNNNNNNNNNNNNNNNNNNNNNNNNNNNNNNNNNNNNNNNNNNNNNNNNNNNNNNNNNNNNNNNNNNNNNNNNNNNNNNNNNNNNNNNNNNNNNNNNNNNNNNNNNNNNNNNNNNNNNNNNNNNNNNNNNNNNNNNNNNNNNNNNNNNNNNNNNNNNNNNNNNNNNNNNNNNNNNNNNNNNNNNNNNNNNNNNNNNNNNNNNNNNNNNNNNNNNNNNNNNNNNNNNNNNNNNNNNNNNNNNNNNNNNNNNNNNNNNNNNNNNNNNNNNNNNNNNNNNNNNNNNNNNNNNNNNNNNNNNNNNNNNNNNNNNNNNNNNNNNNNNNNNNNNNNNNNNNNNNNNNNNNNNNNNNNNNNNNNNNNNNNNNNNNNNNNNNNNNNNNNNNNNNNNNNNNNNNNNNNNNNNNNNNNNNNNNNNNNNNNNNNNNNNNNNNNNNNNNNNNNNNNNNNNNNNNNNNNNNNNNNNNNNNNNNNNNNNNNNNNNNNNNNNNNNNNNNNNNNNNNNNNNNNNNNNNNNNNNNNNNNNNNNNNNNNNNNNNNNNNNNNNNNNNNNNNNNNNNNNNNNNNNNNNNNNNNNNNNNNNNNNNNNNNNNNNNNNNNNNNNNNNNNNNNNNNNNNNNNNNNNNNNNNNNNNNNNNNNNNNNNNNNNNNNNNNNNNNNNNNNNNNNNNNNNNNNNNNNNNNNNNNNNNNNNNNNNNNNNNNNNNNNNNNNNNNNNNNNNNNNNNNNNNNNNNNNNNNNNNNNNNNNNNNNNNNNNNNNNNNNNNNNNNNNNNNNNNNNNNNNNNNNNNNNNNNNNNNNNNNNNNNNNNNNNNNNNNNNNNNNNNNNNNNNNNNNNNNNNNNNNNNNNNNNNNNNNNNNNNNNNNNNNNNNNNNNNNNNNNNNNNNNNNNNNNNNNNNNNNNNNNNNNNNNNNNNNNNNNNNNNNNNNNNNNNNNNNNNNNNNNNNNNNNNNNNNNNNNNNNNNNNNNNNNNNNNNNNNNNNNNNNNNNNNNNNNNNNNNNNNNNNNNNNNNNNNNNNNNNNNNNNNNNNNNNNNNNNNNNNNNNNNNNNNNNNNNNNNNNNNNUCAGGGUUGGGAAAAACAGUUGUAUUGGGAGUGGACAGGCUGGGUUGCAGUUGACCUUUAGCUCCUUUGAUGUCCUUCAUAGCGGGAAAAUCAUUAUGGGAUCUUUGUUUGGGGGAUUCAAAGCUAAGUCAGAUAUUCCCAUCCUCUGAGGCACUAUGUGGACAAGGUGGCUGUUCUUUUCUAUAGCUACUUGUAUCAUGUCUUUGCUUCCUAUGGUUUUAAUCCUAGGUUCAUUGGAAAGCACUUGAGCAUUAUCGUCACAAACAUGAAGCUGUGCAGCAAUUCCAGGCAGUUGGUUGUGCUAUUAAUUUGUCUGUGCUUUUAGAGUUGAAAACACCAAGGAAAUAUUUCAUUUUCAUAUCAGUUCUGGUUCAAAUUAGAGUCUGAUUCCAGAUAUUCGUGAUGAAACAUGCCUUUGAACUCCCCUCUCUCUUUCCUCUUGUAUUUUCAGGAGUUGCGGUUGGAUGAGUUUGUCUCACAUGAGGUGGACUUUGAAGAUAUCAACAAAGCUUUCGAGUUACUUAUUGAAGGAAAGUGUCUUCGAUGUGUUAUGGAUGGGCAAAUGAGUUGACUUUUGCUGUUUUUUUUUUUUUUUCGUUUCAGAGCAAGAACUCUGCAUAAUUCCUGCAUAAAUUGUGUUUUAUUUGGAAUUUGUUGUUUAUCAUAUUCUAAGGUAGCAAACCCUGUAAUUGUUCCCGAAUCCUGAAAUUUUCAUUGGGACUCUUUGGUGAUAAUUCUGCCCACAAUACUAUGACACCGUAAAUGCACUGGAAGCACCAGUGAAGUACUCGGUGGGAGAGAAUAUCUUCUGAGAGGAACCAUAGUGCCUCAAGCAGUAAAUCCCGGGCUUAGUCUCCUCCGGAACUUCCCAGGUUGCCGAACAAUACAAUCCAUAGUUUUCCGACUUCCACUUGAAAAACAAGCAGAAGUCAUCGUCAUCAUGUACCGGGAUCGACCGUUCCCCCUCAAGCUUUUCUACGACCGCAAACGUGCCUUCUGUUAAUAGGUCGUGUCUUGGGUCUGCACUCCAGAAAGUGGCAUUUUGUGGCAUCCUAGAAUUCCUUGCCAAUCUUUAAGGGUGUUUUAAUUCAUGUCUUGCAUUAAGACUUUGGCCAAGUUUUUGGUGGAUAAUAAAUUGAUAGGAAAAAUUCUAUUUUUGGCCAUGUGAAUUAUGGAUUGAAAUUUAUUAAAUUAGGUCACAAAGUUUUGUGAUUUAUAAAUUUCAAUUAGGUGAUUAUAAAAUUUAGGUUUAAGAAGGAUUAUUAAGAUGAGGUGUGGGCCAAAAUUCUAGCUCAAGACUAGCCCACAAGAAGCCCCACCCUUUGGUCAUUUGGGCCUAGCCCAUGAAGCCCAAGGAAAGGAAGAGCUGCCGUCGGCCCAUGGCUGGCCCAAGCCCAGCCGAAAGAUGGAGGCCCAUCUUGCAUGAAGAAGGCCAUUUGUCCCUCCUAGCUGCCAAGUGUUCCCCAUGCAAAAUCAAUGAUUGUUCAUCAUUGAGGGGAAGAAACUAAGGGAACCGGUUGAUGAUGAAGAGGGAGGGGAAGCAUCGUCGACCGAGAGAGAGUGAGAGAGAGAGAGAGAGCUACCGAGAGAAAGAGAGAAAUCGAGAGAGAAAGGGAGAGUGAGCGUGCGGAAGAAGAGAGGAAAGGAGGAGAGCUGUCCAUCGACCGUCCGCCGUGCGUCCGUCACUGGUCGCCGUUCGUGCUCGCUGUUUGCUCGGUUUAGAGGCAAGUUGGAAUCCUUAAUCUGCUCUUGCAUGUUGUGUCUAGUAUGUGUGCUUGAAUGGUGAAAGAAUUCGGAUGUUUAGGGUGUUAAAAGUUGAAGUUUUAAGAGGGAUGUUUGAGACUAGUAAACUGUUCUUGAGAAAACAGUUCGACCUUGGAUGUUCUAUUGGCUUGCAUGUGUUGUUUGAGUUGGAUUUUAGCCGUGGAUUCUAAAUUAAAGUUGUUAAGGACUUCCUGAAAUAUAACAUACUCAAAUUUGGGAAAAAAUGAAUAAGUAUAAGUCGGUGAAAUCCUUAUUUUUCGGAGAGACUGAAUCUGGAGAUUUCGGUAACUACCUUUGGUGAAUGCAUGGUCUGUAAGCCUAUCUUUUUGUUGAAAUUUCACUUAUAUUUCUUAACAAAAUAUGUAAAGGACAUCCUGAGGUUUAACAUAUAAAAAAUUUAGAGAAAAUUAACAAGAAUAGAUAGGUGAAAUCGUAGUUUUUCGGAAGUAGUCAGAUCUGGAGACUUCGGUAUUGAAACAGAAGCUUUAACCGUCUAUAUUAAAUCACCUAGAACGAAUUUGACUUUGAUUUAUUCAUGAAAAACCUACCUUAAGAUCUUGACUACAACAUAGCCUAAUUUCAUGAAUUUUGAAGGUCAUUAGGAUAUUUAAUCGGAAAUAUCUUAAAAACCGUGUAAUCUGACGUGUUCGGAUUUAGUCAGUUUCAAUGCAUGGGUCAUAUCAUCUUGUAUGAAGCUCUUUCGGAAAAGUGUUCUUCACAAAGUAUCUUUCUUUAUGUCUUCCCUGUAAUAUAUUCAAAUUUCAUAAUUUUUGAAGUUCAUUUGCCUAUUUAACCAAAAAUAUUUCAAAAACUGUGCAAGCUGUAUUGUUAGAAUAGUAAUGCUGUGAUGCAUGGUCUAUAUCAAAUUUUAUGAGGGUCUUUUUGUGACACCCCGAACCCUUCGGAAGUCGCCACAGGCACCAAUUGUUACACCUUACUACCUCUCUCUAGAAGAAGCGUCGUAAUUCAUAGACAUUUUUUUUUUAAACGGUCCCAGCGCGACUCAUUAGCGGAAGCAAAAUAAAACAUCACCAUCUCUCCCCCCUACCAACCAUGAUACAAAUACACACCACUAAUCAUCAUGAUUUUAUAGACAAGCUACGACACUUUAUUUACAUAUAUUUUCAAGAUGGGACUUCUUUGGGUCGAUACAUCAAAAGGAAAAGCUAGGACUCAGCCAUGUCCAGCCUAAAACCCCAAAAAGAACCCUCGACCCUCUACAUCACACGUGCACAACCCCCAUCAUAAGUGUCGGCUAACUAUCCCCAAAAACACAGCUCCUACUCGUCAUGCAUGGGCCUCACACCCAACCCGGUGCAUCAGGCGGUGGCGGUGGCAGCAUCCCUCGCAUCGCUCCAUCCCGACGAACAUGGACGGAUAUGAACUCCUGAAUGACAGGGUCCCCAGCCAGGCCCAUGUCGUACAUCACUAAACAGCGUACUCGAAUAAAAGUCAGUCCAGGAAUAGAGGGACAAUCAAUCUCAGCGCACUUGACCUCGACAUCGGAUGGUAGCCCGUAAAAUACACAUCUCGUGACGGCAGGGAGCGGCAUGCUGCUAAUUUGAAAUGUUGGUCCACAAAAGGGGUGAGUACAACCACUCAGCAGGUAAAUGAAUCCAACAACCACUCAAUGCAUCAUGCAAAAUACAUGCAUUGCAGGCGUUACUUACCUUGAAGCCAUGCGCACACUAUCAUGCAUAUCAUCAUAAUCAUAUACAUGUCAUCAUCAUCGUGACAUCAUCACAUCACACAUGUCAUCAUCAUCAUGGCAUCAUCAUAUCACACAUGUCAUCAUCAUCAUGGCAUCAUCAUAUCACACAUGUCAUCAUCAUCAUGGCAUCAUCAUAUCACACAUGUCAUCAUGCCUUAUCAUAUAUCAUCAUCAUCAUCAUGCAUAUCAUCAUCGUGCAUAUCAUCAUGCCAUAUCAUAUAUCAUCACCAUCAUCAUCCAUGCAUAUCAUCAUGCAUAUCAUAUAUCAUCAUCAUGCUUUGAUUUCCACUUUUAACUUUCAACUUAAUCACCACAUCAUCCUUCCUCGGAUCAUCAAUUUCAUCUCAUAUUAUACCCUCGCAUCCCAUGCGAGAAAAACCUCCGGCAUUCAGCCAUUCCAGGCCACCGGGCAUCCGACCCCCCACAUUUCGGGCAUCUCGCAUCCCAACUGGCAUCACGAGGCAUUCCCCUCGCGCAAAGACCUCCGACAGGGCUUCCGGCAUUUACACUCCCUGGCCGGGCAUCCCGCACCCCAAUCCUAGCAUCGCGAGGCAUUCCCCUCGGGCAAAGACCUCCGACAGGGCUUCCGGCCCCCCACAUUCCGGGCAUCCUGAAUCUCCCAGGGUCAUCCGGCCUUGUAUCUCAAUACAAUCCGGGCAUCAUCAUCCACCACAACCAUCUCCUCAUUUACCAUUAUCCAUGUUUACCAAUUUCAGUCUUAAUUUAGCAUGGCAUAUGACGUGACAUCAAACAAGUCAUACUUGGCAUGUAAUUUAUACAUGUAUGUCAAUUCAAUGUCAUGCAUACAUCAAGACCUCAUCAUACAUGCUACAUGGUAUAAUUAUUUAUGAAAUAAAUUUAGGGGAAUUUAUGGCCAAUAAAAUAAUCCAUUUUUCAUGCCCUUUUUCCAUUUAUUUAAAUUUCAGCUUUUGUCAUUUCAAAAAUAUUAAANNNNNNNNNNNNNNNNNNNNNNNNNNNNNNNNNNNNNNNNNNNNNNNNNNNNNNNNNNNNNNNNNNNNNNNNNNNNNNNNNNNNNNNNNNNNNNNNNNNNAAUUAUAAAAAUUAAGGCAAGUGAUAAACAAGACAAUAGGAUAAUAAUUUCAUGCAAAAUACAUGGCCAAAUAGAAUUUCACACAAUUUCACAAUUUCUCACAAAAUGGCAUGUCAUUUUCGGGUGAAAUCAGAAUGCACAGUUUUUGAACAAAUUCGAUUAAAACAUCCAUACGACCUCCAAAAAUUACGAAAUUUUACCGAGUUACAGCCAAGACAUUUUCGUACAUCUUUCAUGAAGACUUUCAAGCCAUAUUCUUUUUAAAUUAAUUUCUACAGUCUCACGAAGCUUCUGGAUCCAUUACCGCAUCGUCCAGUGCUUGCUUCUCCGAAAUACUGAGUUUUCACCUACCUAUUCUCUUUAGUUUCCUCUGAAAUUUGGAUAUGUUCUACAUCAAGAUGUUAUAUACAAGUUUCAUGAAGAGAUCCAAGUCAAAUAUCCAGAGUAUAGUCGAAAUUUAGGUCCAUGAAGUCUCGGGUGUCCCGUAAUACAUCUCCAGAAUUACCGUCUUCAACAUCUAGUCGAUUGACUAGGUUAUACUUGUUCAUUUCACUUCAAAUUUGAGUAUGAUGUAGAUUAUGAUGUUAGCUACAACUUUCAUGAAGAGAUCGAAGAAAUAUUCUUAGCAAAAAUCAACAUGCAACCACAAAUCCAACAAGAGGUCAGUAAAAUCGUUCCAGAUCUGAGGUCUCCAUAGGAUGAGAGUUUAACCCCUCAAAUCUCCAUAAUUUUCCACGAAAUUUUAGUAUGUUAUAUUCAAAGAGGUUAGCUACAACUUUUAUGAAGAGAUAAAAGCCAAAAUCGGACUCCAAACAUGCAUGCAAGCUCACACAACAUUCUGACUCAAACUGUUCAAGCGAAAACAGCCAUACCACCCAAGAACAAUCCAUCCAUACUUCGGUUUUCCUCACCUAAAUCACCCAAACUCGACACUAUAUCAACCAUACAUGUAAAAAACACACAUGCAAGAGCAGCUAGAGGACUCCCACUUGCCUCUAGACCGGACGGACGGCGGCACACGGCGGCGAACACGGCGGUCGGACGGCGACGACUCCUCCUCGGCUCCUCCUCCCUCUCGGCCGCUCUCCCUCUCUCUCGCACGAUCUCCCUCUCUCUCUCACUCUCUUGGGCGAAUGAAGUAACUGGCCACUCCUCUCUCUCUCUUCCCUUUUAUCCCCCCUAAUCCUCAUCAUUGAUAAUCAUUGCUUGCCUUCAAAUUAGCCAAUGCAUGGCAUCCUAGUCUAGGCCAAUGCAUGAAGACUUCUUGCCACUUGUCUUGAUGGGCUUUUGGGCUUGGGUUUUUGGGCUUUUGGGCCGGCCACUCUUGGGCCUCCUCUUGGGCUGGUCGACAGCCCCCUUGUGGGCCUAAUUAGGCUGGCCAUUCGGCCCACUAAGCUUAGGCCAAUGGGCCUAAGGCCCAACCUAAAAAUUGACUUUUUCCCCCUUUUCUUUUUUUUUGAAUUUCUUCUAUAAAUAUUUUUAAAUUUUAAUUUUCAACAUGGCCAAAGUCUUGUGACAUUUUGUUUAUUGAAAUUUAAUUUAUAAAGUGCAUGGCCAAGCAUAGAUUAUUAAUUUAUCCUAUAGUUCUAAAUAAAGGAAAUUCAAGAACACAAGCAUAAAACACAUAGCCUUAAGAAAACUAAUGGCUAAGACAUAAACCAUAGGUAAUUUCAUUACCUAAUUAGAGGCUUAAACACAACUUAUAACUUGACUUUGAAUUUUGGGAUGCCACACUUUUGGUGUGGUGUCCUCCAUGAUAUAUCUGCCUUUAUGUCUUGACUAUCACAUGUUCGAAUUUCAUAAUUUUUAAAGGUCAUUUGGGUAUUUAAUGGAAAUAUUUUCUAAAACUGUGCAAGCUGGAUUGAGCGAAUUUCAAAUGCUGUAAUUUAUGAUUAUUUUGUUUUGGAUGAGCCCUAUGGAUUAUAUUGAUUAAGGUGAUUGAAUCUUGCUGAGCAUGUGAUGAUAUUUGGCAUUGCAUAUGGAAUCGAAUGCUGAAUUUGACUUUGUUGCCAUUACAUCAUGUGCCAUGUUGAUUGUGAGACAUAAAUUGGUGAAUAUGAAUUAUGAUGAAUGAGGAGACUGUUGGAGGUGGGCCGAUAAUGCCCUGAGAGUGUCGGGAUGCCCGGGAUGGGGGGUGCCGGAUGCCCGAUUGUAUUGUGAUACAUGCCCGGAUAUCCUCGGAAGUUUCGAGAUGCCCGGAAUGGUUGGGUGUCGGAAGCCUCGGAGGUUUGUGCCCGGGGGGGAUGCCUCGUGAUGCCAGUUGGGAUACGAGAUGCCCGGAAUGUGGGGGUGCCGGAUGCUCGGUGGUGUGUGCCGGAGGUUUUCUCGCGAUGCCAGGUUGGGGUGCGAGUGAUAAAAUGUGGGAUGCAAUCACUGAUCCCGGGAAAGAAAGAUGGGGUGAUCAAAUUGAAAGAAAGAUGUUGAAAUUGAAUCAUGCAUGGUAUGGUGACAUGUAUGCAUGGCUAUAUGAUAUGAUGUGUAUGAGUGCAUGGUUGUAUGCACAUAUGGUAUGAUGACAUAUGCAUGGCUGCAAGGUAAGUUAUGCUUGGAUGCAUGGAUGACAUGCUAUGCUGUGAUGUUGUGAUUGUACUGUGUGAUGCAUUGAGUAGUUUAUUGGAUCUUUUACCUGCUGAGUGGCUGUACUCACCCUUCGGGGAACAACAUUUCAGAUUAGGAAGAUGCCGCUCUCUCCAGUCACGCGGGGUACCUUUUAUGGCCUCCCAUCUGACGUGGAGGUAGAGUGUUCGGAGAUAGAUUGCAUUACCAUCCCUGGGUUGAUGUAUGUGUGAGUUUGCGUGCUGGUCAUGUACGAUGUGGGCCUAGCUGGGGGUCCGGUCAUACAUGAGUUUUUGUCGGUCCACGUCUGCCGAGAUGGAGUGAUUCGGGGGAUGUUGCCGCCACCACCACUCGACGCGCCCGGAUGGGUGUGAUGGCCGCGUGACGGGUAGAGAGCUAACGUUUUUUUUUAGAGUAGCCGACACUGAUAGAUGGAUGAUGACAUGUGAUCGUUAUAGGGGUGGAGAUACCUUUUGGGUUGUGGCCAAGUGUAGUUAAAAGUCUUGGCUUUCUUUUUGGUUGUACCGAUCCGAGAAAUCCAUCAUGAAAAUAUAUAAAUAAAAGUGGUUCGGCCUUAUCUUUUCUUAUGGUGCGUAGUUGGUGUGUAUUGCAUUAUGGUUAUUGGAGGGAGAGAUGGUGAGACUCAAUUAUGCAUCCGCUAAUAAGUUGCGCUGGGACCAUUUUCAAAAAAAAAAAAAAAAAGAUGAUGCCUAAGGACCUCGGUCCUUCUAUAAACCCCUUUUUAUAAAAGACAAGUAACGGAUAUCCUUGGAAAGAAAGCGAUUGGCAGGCUGUGGCAACCCUAACGGAUCGGGGACCGUCGAGGGGUGCCACACAUCUACUCUGUCUCCCGUUUAAAUGCUUUACUUUCUGGUUGGGCGACGUCCUCUUUAAUGUCGCCAAAAUUAAUGCCUGAAGGAGGUAAGUCGCCCGGUGGGAGAAGCAAGAGGCUGAUCUGUACAGAGGAAAGGUCGGGUGGUGAAGGGCUUCUAGGGACCUUUACUUCUGCUGCCAUCGCUUUUGCUAAUUUCUUGAAUUCUUGGAUAUAGGCUGAUAACGUGUGGGGACCGUAGAGCGUAGAAGCAGCCUGCGGCAUAAGUUAGCAACUGUAAUGCAGAAAGGAUAUGAAUGCUACCUCACGGAACGGGGAAUUCAGGUAGUCCUUGUGACACCCCGAACCACCUAGGGUUGCCACAGGCACCUGGCGUUACACCUAAUUACAUCUCUUAGUCGAAGCGUCGUAAAUCAUAGACAGAUUUUUUUUUUUUGAAAGCGGUCCCCAGCGCGACUCAUUAGCGGAAGCAAAAUAAUACAUCGCCAUUUCACCCUCCAAUAACCAUGAUACAAUUGCACACCACUAAACAUCAUAAUAAAAGACAGCCAUGACACUUUAUUUACAUAUUUUCAAGAUGGGUUUCCUUGGGUCGGUACAUCAAAAAGAACGCCAGAGCUCAGCCAUACUUGGCCUACCCCUCUCCACAAGAAACCCUCGACCCCCCCCCCCCCCCACGUGCUAAAUCCCCCAUCAUCAGUGUCGGCUAACUAUCCCAAAAAGAUCCAGCUCCUACUCAUCACAUACGGGCCCUUACACCCAUCCCGGUGCAUCAGGCGGCGGCGGCGGUAACAUCCCACGCAUCUCUCCGUCUCGGCGAACAUGGACGGAGAUAAACUCCUGGACAACAGGGCCCCCAACCAGGCCUACGUCGUACAUAACCAAACAGCGCACUCUAAUAUACAUCAGUCCGGGAACGGAAGGACAGUGAAACUCCUCGCACUCGACCUCAACAUUNNNNNNNNNNNNNNNNNNNNNNNNNNNNNNNNNNNNNNNNNNNNNNNNNNNNNNNNNNNNNNNNNNNNNNNNNNNNNNNNNNNNNNNNNNNNNNNNNNNNUCAUCAUCAUGUCAUACACACGUCAUCAUCAUCAUGACAUCAUCAUAUCAUAGGUCACCAUCAUAUCAUACAUAUGCCAUCAUCAUUAUGUCAUAGACAUAUCAUCAUCAUCAUAUCAUACACAUGUCCUCAUCAUCAUAGGUGAUCAUCAUCAUAUCAUAUCAUGUAUGCCACAGGUGAUCAUCAUCAUAUCAUGUCAUGUAUGCAUAUCAUCAUGCAUGAUUCAAUUUCCACUUUUAACUUUCAAUUUGAUCACCCCAUCACCCUUUCUCAAGAUCACCAAUUUCAUCUCAUACUUUACACUUGCACCCCAUCCUGGCAUCGCGAGAAAAACCUCCGGCAUUCAGCCAUUUAAGGCCACCGGGCAUCCGGCACCCCCACAUUCUGGGCAUCUCGCAUCCCAACUGACAUCACGAGGCAUCCUCUCGGGCAAAGACCUCCAAGGCUUCCGGCACCCAACCAUUCCAGGCAUCCUGAUACUCCCAGGGCCAUCCGGCAAUGUAUCUCUAUACAUUUCGGGCAUCCGGCACCCCCCAUCCCAGGCAUCCUGAUACUCCCAGGGCAUUAUCAUCCGCCACAACAAUUUCCUCAUUGAUCAUUAUUCAUGUUCACCAAUUUCGGUCUCAAUUUAGCAUGGCACAUGAUGUAAUGGCAAACAAAAUCAUAUUCAGCAUUAAAUUCAUACAUGCAUCUCAAUUCAUUGUCAUGCAUGCAUCAAGACCUCAUCAUAUAUGCAACAAGGUACAUUUUUUCGUAAAAUGGAAUUCUUACCAAUUAAAAUAAUCCAUUUAUCAUGCCCUUUUUACAUUUAUUUAAAUUCCAGCUUGUACCACUUUCGAAAAUAUUUAAUUUAAAUAUCCAUAUGAUUCUCAAAAAUCAUAAAAUUAAGGCGAGUGAUAGACAAGACAAUGGAAUAAUGAUUUCAUGCAAAAUACAUGGCCAAAUAGAAUUCCACACAAAUUCAUAAUUCACAAAUUCAGCAUGUAAUUUCGGAUGAAAUCAGAACGCACAGUUUCCGAAAUAAUUUGAUUAAAAUAUCCAAAAAACCUCCAAAAAUUACGAAACUUUACCAAGUUAUAUCCAAGACACUAAAUUAGAUUUUUCAUGAAGACUUAUAAGCCAAAUUAUUUUUGGAUUAUUUUCCACAGUCACACGAAGCUUCUGGAUCUAACACCGAAACGUCCAGUGCAUGCUUCUCCGAAAUACUGAGUCUUCACCUACCUAUUCUUCUUCGUUUCCUUGAAAUUUGGAUAUGUUUUACUUCAAGAUGUUCUCUACAAGUUUCAUGAAGAGAUCCAAGUCAAAUAUCCAGAGUAUAGUCGUCAUUUUGGUCCAUGAAGUCUCGGGUGUCCUGUACCACGUCUCCAGAUUUACCGUCUUCAAGAUUAAGUCGAUUUACUAGGUUGUACUUGUUCAUUUUACUUCAAAUUUUAUUAUGUUGUAGUUUAAGAUGUCCCCUAAAACUUUAAUGAAGAAAUUGAAGAGAUAUUCUUAGCAAAAAUCAACAUGCAACCACAAAUCCACCGAAAGGUUAGUGAAAUCGUUCCAGAUCUAGGGUCUCCGUAGGAUGAGAGUUUGACCCCUCAAAUAUCCAUCAUUUUGUACCAAAUUUUAGUAUGUUGUAUUUUAAGAUGUUAGAUACAAAUUUCAUGAAGAGAUAAAAGUCAAAAUCGAACUCUAAACAUGCAUGCAAGCUCUCACAAAGUUCUGACUCAAAAACUGUUCAUGCGAAAACAGCAUGCAUCUAAAGUACCAAACACAUUGUUUUCACUCUCAUGCCUCCAAACAUCCUAAAUUUCGACCAUACAUGCCAAACAUUGGUGCAAGAGUAGAAAGUGGAUUCCCAACUUGCCUCUAGACCGAACGAACGACGGCACACGGCGGCGAACGGGCGGCACACGGGCGGACGGAUGGCGUGCGACGGCGACUCCUUCCUCUCGGCUUCUCCUCCCUCUCGGCCUCACUCUCCCUCUCUCUCGCACAAUCUCUCUCUCUCUUUGGGCGGUAGCUCAACCGGCCACCUCUCUCUCUCCUCUUCCCUUUUAUUCCCCCAUUUCCUAAUCAUUUGUAAUGAUUAGUUUGCCUUUCAAUUUGGCCAAUGCAUGAGCUCCUCUUUGCCACUUGGCAAACCUCAUGCAUGGGCUUGGGCCUCCUUUUGGGCCGGCGACAGCCCCCUUCCAUGGGCUUCUAUUGGGCCGGCCAUUCGGCCCAUCAAGGCUUUGGCCAAUGGGCCUAAGGCCCAACCUAAAUAAAAAUUAAAUUUUCCCCUUUUUAUAAUUUCUUCUAUAAAUUUUAAAUUUUAAAUUCCACAUGGCCAAAGUCUUGUGACAUUUUAUUUAUAGGAAUUUAAUCCAUAAAGUGCAUGGCCAAACAUAGAUUUUUCUUUUAUUUAUCAUUAAUCUAUCAAAUUUAAAAAUCUCAUAAACACAAGCACAAAUCACCUAAUCUUAAAAAGAGACUAAUGGCUAAAGCAUAAGCCAUAGGAAAUUUCAUUACCUAAUUACGAGCUUUAAUACACCUUAGAGCUUGUCUUGAAUUUUGGGAUGCCACAGUCCUACGAUGGUAAUUGAUUUUCGUUUGGGUACUAUGUGUUAAAUCUAUCUUGUAUCAUGGCUGCCUCAAAAAAUCUAUUGAGAUAUGCACAAGAGAGUACCUCAUAUCGCUGCUGUGUGUACUCAUCGAAGGUCGCCACAUACUGCGAAUAAGUGUUUGUAAGGCCUGCUAUCACGACCUGGAGAUCCUCCCGGAAUUCUCCAUUCCCAUUGCUUAUCAAUGUCUCCUUCACCGCCUCCCUCAAUCGCCGGCCAGCCAUUGUUGUGAAUUCUGUAAAUUCGAAAACAGGAUUUUGAUUAGCUUGUAUAGUGCUUGUCGCCGUUACUGCUGAAGGCUUCCAUCUAGUAGUGCUACUUCUAUGUUGGCAUUGACCCAAGUCUCUUUAGGACGUGUUUGAUUAACUCUAGGAAGCCCGUAUACGAUCAAAACCUGUUCUCGAGUGAAACUGCUCUUCUUGGUUGACAUGAUGAAUUAAGGGACUCUGUCAUACAUCUUGAGCCACAAGAAUGUCUUACUUCAACCACCUCUGGAAUUACUUUCUGGAAUUUCCUCUAUUCUCUAGACGUGGGUCUUAAGAUACUGUGUUGAAUUUAGAUACGUGGUGACCGCGACACUCCUGAUUCAGCAUGUCUACUCCCGGAAGAGGUCUCGACACUUCUAUAUGUGGAGGAAUGGACUAUUCCUAAGCAAACCGAAGCUAUGACAUGAAAUUAAAAUUCACUGCAUGAGGGAAUUGGAGAGAGACGAACCUCCUGGUACAGAGAGAAUGAUCAGUUGUCCUAAUCUGAGCAUUUGAAUUGGAAGAAUCGCUGGCUGCAUUAUAGUGGAAAAAGGAAUGUUUAGACAUCUGAUCAUGCUUGUCUGUGGUGACGUUAAAGAUAAUGCCAUCAUCACAUGCAACACGUGACCAUGCACUACUUUUGCAUUAACUAUUAAUCCUCUUUAACAAUUUAUCAGGACUCGGGGCUAAAAUUUUCUGGUAACAUCCAUCUAGCACCUCCUUCUUAAGCAUAUUACUGAAGUAAACCAGCCAGGCACCUCUGGAGGAUCACAAGAUGUGAGCUAGAAGAGCAUACUUCCAUCAGAAGAGGUUGAAGAUUUCAAUAGCCCGAAUGCAUUAGUGUUAGAUUUGCUAUGUCUCAAGCAGGUUGUAGCUCAUGGUGAAGCUAAUAAAGCCCAUUAGACUGGCUUUUGUGAGAUUAUUGUAACUGUGAGAUUGGAUAGGGAGUCCAUCGUACCGCCCAAGCGUAGGGAUGGAACAUUUCACCGGUGCUAAGUAAGAUGGGCUUCGGCUUCUGGCAUUUCUCCUGAUACGCACUUGGUUUUUUAGCAAGUUCCUCACAAGCUUCCAAAAGGGGUUGAUCUGCAAACGUGCGAGUCGUCCACACGAAACGAGAUGAUAAAGAAUGAGCCAGAGUCUAAUCUGGCUGAAACUUGCAAAGUUUUAUUGCACGGUUGACGUGGUAGGCGCAAUUGAAUUUACUUGAAAACCGGUUCUGGCUAACGCUUAGGAAUCUACUAACCUCUGUAUCGCCUUGCUGGAAACCGAAUUGGCCAGGGCCAUCAGUGGUUCCAGCAGCAAAACCUGCACCAACGGCUGCGGGACAUAUUUUAACCACCCAGUUUCCCUCUAACUCCACCUCAAUAUCUGUGAAAUUUACAUAUGCAUGACGGUAAUCUAUCUUUCCGGUCAGUUCUUCUUUAGCAGACUUGAAUAGCUCAAGGGCCGUCUUGAAUUGCCUGUCGCCUAUGAUCUUUGUGCUUAGUAUUUCAUCGGGGUACCUGUAACACAGCGUCACGAACCCUCAUAUCAAUUCAAGGUAAGAAACUUAUGGGCUCUUUCACAACCACCACACAACUAAUGAAAUGCCCGACAAUGAUGAACUCAUUCUGGAAGAAAUUAGAGAAUCCCCGGGUCCACGCCCCACACAAAGUGUAUCGUCCCCGUUGCACGAAGAGCGGUUGAAAUCGCACGGGUUUCCUGUAUCGGUGCAGAAUGCUCCAAGCACGUUUGGGCUCACGUCCCCCACGUUGGAUUGGCAAAACGCAGCCACGAACAAGGAGCCAUCGUUUAUCCUUACCUUGGAACUCCGGCUGCUCGUUUUGCUGCACGGCUGCCCUCCAGUUGCGCCUAUUGUUUGUGCCUUCUCGAUCAACAGCAAACCAUCUACGUCUGAUCUCACGAAUGACACAAACAGAAAAAAAUUGUAACAUUAGUAUCAUUCGCACUACUUUAGUUAUAAGAACUCACGAUGAUCACAAUUGCCAAGUUGGAAAUCCAUCAACGGCAAGCUCAGACUUGAUUACACGUUUUUUUAACAUUAACGAAUGAUUCAGCAAUGUAACCAAAAGAUCACUUAAAUGCUUAACAUAGUAUAUGAAGGUGCAAUCCUGCAAAAGAAAAUAAGCUUACUAGAUCAGUUAGCCGAUUUCCCCUUCCCCAAAGCAAACCGGUACGAGUCCUCAAGGAACCUGGCAGUGGCUCCUUUGUUGUCUCCGCUGAUGAGCUGGUUGUCUCAGCUCAUGGACAUUAGGGGUGAUCGGGUCUAAGGAGGGUAGGGUCUAGACCUAGACCCUGUUCCCUACCCUGUUAUAACCAGUUCUUCUUUUUUGGACCCUAUUCCCUACCCUAUUUGCAUUGGACCCUGUUCCCGGCCCACCCUAUUUUUCCGGUCCGGGAACAGGGUUGACCCUAUUUAUAUUGGAAACUGUUUUGCAUAAAAAUUGCUGUAUCUUUAUAUUAACCAAGCACAUCAUUCGACUAAACUCAUUGGAAACAUGUAUAAAAUUUGGACCCCCCUUGAAAAAACAACCAAGUAUAUAAUUCGACCAUCUUGCAUCCCCAUAUUCUACGAGGUACAUCGAGUUUCUCAUAUUCCAGUAAUAUACAAGCUAGCAAUUUAGCCAAUUAACUAGUUGUAGGACAAUUUUUGGUUGAUCACAUAUCAACCUUGUCCUUCAUGUGCUCGAUCUUCUUCUCCUUCUUCGGCCUUGCGUUCCACGUGGUACAAAAUCUCUGACAAAAACCUAAAAUUCAUAUAUAAAGAAAAAUCAACAAGAAUCCAUACUCUAGAGACAUGCAAAAGUUAUGAUUUAAUAAAGUCUAUUUACUUACCACAAAAUUGGAGUUUCGACAAAAUGAAGUUUAUUUUCCAAUGAUAAUGUCCUUGGUAAGACAAUCCAAAUCUAUAAAAAAAGAAAAAGAAAAAAAGAGAGAUUAAAUAAGGCAUGCACUUAACAGAUAGUUAUGCGAAUGAAUUACAAAAUAGAAAGAAAUAUAUAUAACUUACCCGCCUCAAAUUGUUCCGCAUUCUCGAUGCACUCUUCAACAUUAAUUGGCACGCGAACAGCUCUCAACCAAUCUUGAGUACAAAUUAAACCUUCCACCACUCUACGAGUCAAAGAACUUCGAAAGCCAUCAAGUACACGCCCCGAUGUACUAAAAGCCGACUCUAAAGCAACGGUAGUCACGGGAAUAGACAAAACAUCUCGAGCCAUCAAAGAUACGAUUUUAUACUUUGACCCAGUAAUCUUCCACCACAUUAAAAGAUCAAUAUUAAGGAUAUCUUCACUUUCAGCUUCAAGAUACCAAUCAAGCUCAGAUUUGUUUUCAUUUAACACUCUUUUCUUCGCAUGGAGAAAGCUUUUGUGCCAAGCAUCGAUUUCACAAUCAUUGUCAUCAAUAUCAACAUUGGAAACACUACUACUGUUAUUCAUACUUGAAUUACCAAAUUUUCCUUUACUAGAAGAGCCAACAAAAGAUUGCUCAUAAGAUUUAUACAAAUUCUCCAAGGCAACCUUCACUUUAUCAUGAAUCUCAUCAAUUUUUGCUUCAUCAUCAUAGAUUUGUUCAAAACAGAAUUUUACAUAAUUCAACUUCUUUGUAGGAUCCAAUGCAACCGCAAUCAAUGCCAUCAUAUUAACUUUAUCCAAACUCCCAUAAUACUUGUCAAAUUUCUCUUUUAUUUUUAAACCCAUAGCUUGAAGCUUUGGGUCUAAAGAAUUUGCCACAUUAUUCAAAUACUUGUACAACUUAGCUAUCUCCUCAAAAUAAUGAUUUGAAGUAACAUAUGAACUACCCGACAUUCUUUUGGUUGCAUCAUAAAACCGUUUUAGAAAUUUAGAAAGAAUGAUGGCAUUUUCCCAAUCUUCAUCUUCAGGAGGAUCAUUGUCAAUUUCCCUUAAGAAAUAUAAAUCUUCAUCUUCCAUUCUUUUAAAAGCUUUCUUGAACUUUAUGGCGGUGUCUAACAUCAUGUAAGUGGAGUUUCAUCUAGUGGCAACAUCAAGACAGACCAAACCCUUGUAUGCAAUCCUCUCACUCUCAAAGCAACCUUUGAAUGUCUUAACUCUAACCGGAGAACUCCUCACAUACCUAACUAUGUUUCGGAUGCGUGCAAUAGAAUCACGCAUCUCAUUCAAUCCGUCUCUUACUAUCAAGUUAAGUAUAUGAGCAUUGCAUCUCAUAUGUAAAGCAUCACCAUUCAAAAUAAAAAAUCCUUCUUCUGAAAAUUUUUCUUUCAAAUAACUAACGGCCACAUCAUUUGAACUUGCAUUAUCCACUGUUAUUGUGGACACCUUCCUUUCUAUUUUCCAAUCAUAAAUGCAUUUCCCCACCAUUUUACCAAUCACCUUACCCUUGUGACUAUGCAUCAUCACAAAAUUGAUUAUUCUUUUUUGCAACUGCUAAUUUUCAUCAAUAUAAUGUGCAGUAAGACACAAAUAGUUCAAGUUUUGAAUGGAACUCCACAUAUUCGUUGUGAGUAUAAUCUUAGAUUUAAGCUUACCAAAGUAAGCUUUUAAACAAGUCCUUUCACUUAGAUAUAACUUCAUACAAUCUCUUACCAUUGUAAAUCGUGAAAGAUGAUGGAAAAGAGGUUGCAAUUCAGUAACAAAAUCCCGAAAAUCAACACGCUCAACCAUGGAAAAUGGCUGCUCAUCAAUAAUAAUCAUUCAAGCAAGCAUAUGUCUACAACGUUCUUGAUCAAACUUCCAUGUCGUUAAGACACUAUCACUAGUAGUAUUUUCCCCAACCUCGCCAACCUCACUUUUGUCACGUGAUGCAAACAACAUUUGCUUUUUAUCUGUGCGAGGAUACUUUUUGCACUUUCUCAAGUGCUUCCACAUAAUAGAGGUUCCAUGAUCAAUAUUAUACACAUAAUCCAUCCCGCAAUGAAUGCACUUCACCUUAACUGUUUUCUGUGUUUUCUCAUCUAUAAUUCUCGAAAAGUGAUCCCAACAAUCUGAUUAAUUAGCUCGCUUUUUACCCGAAGCAGUAUGAGAGUUAGGUACCCUCACCUUGUUUGUCGCGCCCAUGGUUGCAGAUUCCACUUCAUCAGCUCCAUGGAAUGGCAAUUCCAUGAGUGGACUCAUUUCAUUAUGUCCCUCUACUUCCAUUGAUAUGUCUGUCUUGAUCCAUUGACUGAAAACUGAAAAAAAAAAUUAUAUAACAUUAGGAUUCUACAAAAACAGAUUAGUUUUCAUAGUAAAUCAAAUCUCUCAACAUAACUUUGGAGAUAGAAAGUAAUUCAUUCAUCCCAAGAAGUCACUCGUAGUUGGAUUUAGAUAAGAGUUACAUGCAUAGGUCAAACAUCUAUAUUAAACCAGUUCAUGGGGCUUGCAAGAUUGUCCAAUGGGUCUCUAGCAGUUGGAUUUCCACACUCAUGUCUUGGAUUAUUUGAAAAAAGAGAGAGGAAGAAGCAAGAAUAUAAUGAUCUAAAUUUGCCUAGUUCUACAAUCGUUAGAAUACCUUACUCCCCAAUUUUUUUUUUCCUAAAAUGAUAAUCACCAAUCUUAUAAAAGAAUAUACUUUCCUUUUCACUUUGUCUAAACAUGCAAACUAGAGCUCAAUCACUUUAUCCCCAAUUUUAAACUAAUCAUCGAGCUUUUAGGGUAGUUCCACUAUGACAACCAACUUGGUCAGGUUCAACUAGUUUUAUUGUUGGCUAUUUCAAAGAAUGUAUAGCAUCACAAUCUGACAUGGGACUGGAAUUAUAUAUUACCAAAUGGUGGUGUUCUCAAUACGUGACUAUCUAAUAGAAUUGGAAAAAAAAUAAGGUCCCUCAAGACUCCAGCCAUGCAAUAAUAUUCCCCAAAGCAAGUCUCAAUGAAAUUAUAUAUUACCAAAAGGUGAUGCUCUCAAUAUGUGACUACCCGACAUAAUUAAAAAAAAGGUCCCUCAAUAUUCCAGUCUCAUAAUAAUAUUCCCCAAACCAAGUCUCAUUAUUCUUUUCUCAAUAAACAAUCAUUCUAGCAUCAAUGAGCUAUCAUCAAGAUCAUGCAACUUGCAUUAGACUAAUACUAAAUUGAUUGAAGGGAACAAAACUUGUCAAAGGGGGUAUGAUCAAGACUCAGGAGGAUCGCAGCCUCAUAGGCUAAUCAAUGAAGAUAUCAUACGUUUUUAGCAUGAGAAUACCAUGUGAAGAGACAAAAGUUUAUUCUUCGGACUACAACAGUAGACCUAGAUAUCCAUACAUUCUGAUGGAAUGGAUAGUCCUCGUAUAGAAGUCUGCAAUCCCCAAAUUCGGAUUGGACCUUUUGACAUAUAUUGGCGAAGAAGAAAUUUCAGGUUCGUCCGAAAUGUGGCGUCAGUUCCAUAAGAGUAUUGCAAAAACAAAGGAGCCCAAUGACAAUGACCAUGAUAUUCCACCUAGCAGCCAUGAAUGAUUGCUAAAUCCUUUGUGUUUUCUCCUUAUUUUUGCUCACUACUUUGAACCCAAGCUCAAUGUGCCUAUUUGUACACAACAUUGGUAUUGCAAAUUCCUCCAUAAUGAGCGACUAUUAUCGCUCAUUCAUAUAACUAAUCAAUGAAGCUAAUAAUUUAUAAUUACCAAACAUCACUGACCGGCGGCGAGCGGACCAUAAGUAGCGUUAGGGACAGCAGCGGAGAUGGGCUGUCGACAGCAAGGGCAUCGCUCGGGAGUAGGCUCGGAGUAUAUCUGUUGGGUGUCAGAGUAGAUCUGUCGGGCGUCGAGCAGAGGAGGACCCAGCAGCAGGGGCAGCAGUUGCUUCGCAGGGGAGGGCAGCGCAGGCGAGGUGCUGUAGUAGGGGGCUUGGCGGGACACGGCGACGUCGAGUCGACGCAGAUUAGCACAGCAGUGGCUUCGAUGGGCUGCUGGUAAGCCUGAUAUCGUAGCUGGUGAGGGCGGCAAGGAUUGACGCGGCUUCAGCAGGUGUCAGCGAGGGGGCUAGGCCAGAUCGCGAGUAGAGCAGGGGGGCGUCAUUCGGGCGGCGGUAGAUCGGCAGUAGGGGAGCUUGGGAUCGGUGGAGGGCUACUGUGGGUUGCUCGAACUCGAAGAUGUGACAAGGUGGAAUGGUGAGAUCAAACGGAGGCGGUGUCGGCGCUUGGGUGCGAGCUCAGUGGGGGUGGUGCGAGCGCGAGGGGUGCGACGAGAGCGGCGCCGGCUUCGCGAUUUCGGGAGGUAAAGAUAGAAAGAAGUAGAAAGGAGAAACAGAUUAGGUUUUGUGUUUUGGGGGUGGCUUCAAACCGGUUCUCCAACCGGUUCCCAAACCGGUCCGGUCGAUCCGGUUCCCGGGUGGGUAAUCCCUCGGAACCGGUUCCCGGACCGGUUCAAACAGGGUCUGAUUUUUGGGAACCGGUUCCCGGACCGGUUUCAACCGGAACCGGUUCCCGGACUGGUUUCAACCGGAACCGGUUCCCGACCCUGUUUUCUGGGUGGGUCGAUCCGGGAACCGGGUUGACCCGGACCGGUUGCACACCCCUAAUGGACGUCCCGUGCGUCGCGGACCAAUUGAAUGCUCCGAUGCUUUCUCUGCUCUCUCCAUCGACAAACUUCAACAGCGUCAUUUGCUUGUCCACGUUGGUCGGGUAUCGAGCUCUCUCCUCAGCCGGAUUAAGCAAGUACGCACUCGGGCUCCGACUUAUACCUGCAUCAUUCACAUCCCCUAUUGAAAAUAGAUCAUAUCAGGAUCGUUGGCAUGAUUCAUCGAUCAACAAAAUGCCACCCAUACUGAGCUAUGUACCUCGGUUAGUGAAUAAGGAACCAGGCUUGAGAUUGUUGUGAGCUUGGACGAUGCUUUGCUCAACGGCAUCGACGAUGGCAUCAAAUGACUGUUUGACGAAUCCGAGGGAGGUCACAAUGUAGAGCACGUACUGCAAGUAACCUCCGGGACCAGCAUGAGUGGGUAUGCCACUGAUUGCAACAUUCUCUUCGGUGUACAAAUCUCCAAACCUUUUAAGAAGUAGGAAAUAAAACAAAAUUGUUCGCUGAGAUAAAAACCUAUUACAGAAUACUCGCGACUGUAACUGGAAUGUCAAUCUACUAGACAGUCUAGACUAAGUCCAGCCAAUGACUCCUUCAGAAACUCUUUCCUCUUACCUCGACCUAAGCCUUUCCAGAACCUUAACAGUGACGAGCUGCGAAGCCAUCCCAGCAUCGAGAUUGACGAAGGUGAACCUCGCCCCGUUUGGACUUUCCGCCAUGACAAACGCCCUUGCUCUCAACCGGAAGUGAAUCCCCGCCGCAUUCUGCUGGAUGUUCCCGUAGCCCAUCAGGUUCACAUCGGCAGCCGGUCCUGUCGAGUCAUAGCUCCCUACUCCGAUCAGGUACUCCCCAUUCACGACUCCCAAAACUACGAGCGCGACCAACGAGAGGAGAAGCCAGACACUUGCGCCCUUUGUUGCUCAUCGUCUUCACCGUCUUGCUUUCGUGUGGGAUUAACAUUGGUAGAUACAUGUUUGAACAUAAGGUCUGUAAGUAUAUAUAAGAAGCUCCAUGACCUAGGAUUCCUAGGAGAUUGGCGUUGAAUGUUCUUAGAUUGUAGCGACUGGGAUGUGACAUGAUGCUAUCGUGUAAUGAUAUUGGCAGAAUGAUGUUGUGAUGUGAUGUAAGAUAUAUAUAUUUUUGGAUGAAUGGUACAAAAGUUUUGGGAUAGUUGGCACAAGAGAAUCUUCGGAUUGCCCGAUCGGUCAGGAGAGAUUAACGAUGCAAUGCCUCGUCCAUUUAUUGUGCGGAUGCAUAAAGGCAAUGAAACAUCGGCCCGCAAUUGCUGUUGGCUGGUCCAACACAUUUGUGGGGCCAGCUAAUACAUAAAACAAAAAGAGUACAGGAAUUUCAAAUAAAGAUACGAAGUACCCUCAUUUUUUCAAAUAAGAAUUUGAAUAAAGAUCUGAAAUAAUCAUUUCUAUCUCAAAUAAGGGCGCAAGUGGCCAUGACAGUUUUAAAUAAAGGCAUAAUCUUGCCAAUCGCCGGCUAGCUAGAUAUUUCAACCGGCCAAAGACAUUUUUGUCAAAAGACUAUUAUUUUUAAAUUAUUUAUUCUCUUUUCUUUUUCCUUUCCUUUUUGACAAAGGCCCUACUGACCCUUGUCGACCAUUGGCAAGUUGCCUCGCCUAGGUCCUUGCCAGCCGCGAGUGAGGGUAGCGAGGGUUGCCUCACCUAGGGCAAGAGUCGCCUCACCUAGGCAAGGUCUUCCCUCGCCAACUGCUGGUGAGAUGACCCUCGCUUAGAUCUAGCGAGGGUUGGCCUUGCCUAUGAUCGACAAGGGCGACCUCACCUAAGGGGAGGGUCAAUUCGCCCAAGUGAGGUCGUCCCUUGCCUAUGGUUGGCGAGGAUGGCCCUUGCCAAAUCAGGUAAGGACAACCCUUACCAAAUCCCCUCUAGGCAUUGUCACUGGUCGACCAUCAUUCGAGACUGGCAAUCGGCGAAGAAGAAAGAAAAACUAAAAAACUAAAAAAGAAAAAAGAAAGAAAAACUCAAAAAAAAGGUAAAAGACAAAAAUGCCCUUGACCAACUAGAAAGCCAAGCCUUUUUUUAAAACUGACAUAGCCAUUUUAAACAUUUAUUUGGAACAAAAUUCACUUGAAGCCUUUAUUUGAAAAAAUAAGGGCACUUCAAGUCAUAUUUGGAAUUUUCCCAAAAGAAUAAAAAGAAAAGUCAAAUAGAAGACAAAAGAAAAAGGUAAAUGUUGCUUUGUGCGAGAGAGUGAGCCCAACAAGAGAGAGAAAAAGUGAUUGUGCUCAUCGAGAGAGCAACAAGAGAGUAGGGGACAAAAAAGGAAAAAGGGCGCGGCUUUGCGAUCUGGAUUCGAAGGCCAAAUUUCAAUUUUGUCUGUUGAGAACUUUCUCCAACCUCCAUUUGUGUUAAUCCACCUUCAUAGUGAUGAAAAUACUAUUGCAUUGUUGAUGUUGAUCCUUUAAUAUGUGACUAAAAAAAAAACUUUGUGUAUCCUACUAUUUUUUUGUGACUAGUGGAAGCUUUUGGGUGGUCCAUGAUUUUUCCAACAUUGGGUUUUCACGUAAAAUCUUGGUGUUAUUGCCUUUGUUUCCUUAUUAUUUCGGUGUUAUAUUUACUUAUUGCGAGGCUUUUUUAAAGGCUAGUUGCCAGGGGUAAAUUGAUUUCGGUUGGUUUAGUUUUGGGGGAGAAAUUGAUCCUGGAUUGGGUUUAGUUUUGAUGAAUUGUUGCCUAGUUUUCCCCAACAAAGUGAUAUCCAAACUAGUGUUCAGAUUCUAGUAUUAAAUGGAGAAAACUAGCGACAUAAUGUUUAAGUUAAAUGCCUCAAAUUUUUCCAUUUUGUAGUCUCGAAUGAAAGACAUAUUAUAUUACAAAUAUUUGUUUGAUCCCGUUGAUGGUGAUGAGGCUAAGGAGAUGAGGAAGACAAAGAAUGAGAACGAAUGAAUUGGAAAAUGAUUGGGUUUAUUCGACAAGAGAUUGGCAAUAAUGUGUUUCGUUAUGUUGCUCAAGAAACAUUUAAUUAGUAAUCACUACACCAUUUUCAGAUAUGAGAGAAAGAUAACUCUGAUACCAAAUAAAUGUCAAGAUCUUGGGUUAUAUAUAUAUAAAAGAAGUUAACAUAAGAUGAUUUCAAAUAAAUUUAUAGAAAGUGGCAUAGUGAUUGGUGAUUUUAUAUGUUUAAUGUAAAUGAACAAUAUGGAAUUUAAAUAAAAUCACGUGGAUGAAAGAUAAUAAAUAAUGCAAAUGUGAUGUUUAGUAUUAUGAGUAAUAUAAGACUAUAAACAAUGACCAUCCAUAAGGCAGUAAUCCGCGCUCAACUGAGUGUAGCAAAAUAUAAUUAAAUGUCAUUAAAUUAACAAUGUGAUCUCACACAACGACGGUAGUUUGCCCUCGAGCAGAGAUCCCACUGAUAAACGAAAUGAAAAAGAAGAUGUGAUAUUCUAUAGGGGUUGUCGUUUGCGCUCGAAUAGAGUCCCACUUAUAAGUAAAUAAAGAAAGAACUAAGAAUAUAGAGUAAUUGCGCCAACCAAAACUUGGUUGGUUAUUUCAUUCAGUGAUAGAAUAGAAUUAUUGAAGAUAGAUGAUACAAAUGAUCGGAAGUGACUACGUCCUCGAGGCCUUCUAGGAAAGCAAGAAAGAUCGACAGGGUUCUGGUGAACGCCAAGUGGAGUCUGGAUCUCUCUUACUCGAAAGCCUCCUUCUUGGCGCUGGGAAUCUCGGAUCACUUGCCUAUGGUGGUGAAGGUGCUUAAUCCGACUCCUCGGAGGAAGCCUUUCAAGUUUUUCGACUUCUGGAUGAAACAUCCGGAGUUCAACGAGAUUGUCUCACAAGUUUGGGAUGCCCCCGGGGGUUGGAGUCCCUAUGUAUAAGCUUGUUUGCAAGCUCAAGGCUCUUAAAUAUUGGCUCAAGCAGCUCAAUAAAGAUUCUUUCUCUAAUAUCUCUGCCAGAAUUCUUGAUGUGAGGAAGACAUUGGAGACCACUCAGGCAGGCUUGCAGCAAAAUCCCCUUUCUACUGACCUUGCCAAGGUGGAAAAAAACCAAAGGCGUAUCUUUGCAGAGUUGCGUGCUUUAGAGGAGUCAUUCUUCAGGCAGAAGUCCAAGGUCAGAUGGCUCAAAGAGAGAGACCGCAAUACCAAGUUCUUCCACCGGUAUGUCAAUAAAAGACAUUUGAGAAAUAGAGUCCUUUCUGUUCUCGACUCUUUAGGGAACUAGGUGACCAAGCCACGGCUGGUGCAGCGUCGAUUUGUAGAAUUCUUUGAGGACCUCUUGGUGCUGCAAGGGGAAGCUAAUUAGACCUUCGCUGGAGGACCUGAGGGAGGUUAUCCAGCAUCCACUCUCGAAUGAUCAAGCUGCGCUCCUUGCUCGGCCGGUUACAGAGUUGGAGAUCCGAGACACUAUCUUCUCCUUACCUAGGGGAAAGGCGCCUGGACCGGAUGGUUUUUUUUUUUUUUUUUGGUGACCUAGGGAACCUCUGUGCGCCGUCUUUGCUUGGAGUAAACCUUGGAGGGAGUAGAGUCACCACCACCCUUGCUCCCCGGAUAAGUCGUGGGUUCCUUUCCAACAAGGCAGAUGACGCAGGGAUUCGAACUCUGGACCUCUCACGAAAGGAACCAGCGCCCAACUACUACGCCGCCACCACGGGUGGUGCGCCUGGACCGGAUGGUUUCACAGUGGAGUUCUUCAAAGAAAACUGGGACACGGUUGGUCCCUUAGUCACAGCUGCAGUGAUGGAUUUUUUCACCUCCGGAAAACUCUUAAGGGAGAUUAACAAUAUCAUCUUGGUGAUGGUUCCUAAAGUAAUCAACGCCACUUCCGUGGAAGAUUAUCGGCCUAUCGCCUGCUACAACACUAUUUACAAGUGUAUUACAAAGGUGCUAGCUAAUCGGGUGGCCCUAGCUUUGAAGAGCUCGAUAAGCCAUUUUCAGACUGCUUUUGUAAAAGGUAGGCAGAUCAGGGAUAACAUCUUGCUGGCCCAGAAGCUGUUCUCUAACUUCCACCCCGAGCCUUAUCUCCCUAAAUUUGCGAUAAAGGUAGACUUCAGGAAAGCUUAUGAUACUGUGGAUUGGGACUUUCUCAAAGGUGUGUUGCUGGCCUUUGGCUUCCCUCAGUCUGUCACGCGACUUAUUAUGACUUGUGUACGCACACCCAAAUUUUCAAUUGCUUUGAAUGGAGAGCUCCACAAGUUCUUUGUGAGCGGCCGAGGUCUCCGCCAAGGUGAUCCCAUCUCUUCUUACCUUUUCACUAUGGUUAUGGAGGUGCUUUCAAGAAUCAUUUUUAGGUACUCUUUGAGGCAUGAUUUCAAGUUCUUCUGGAGGUGUAAGGAAAUGGGUCUUUCACAUCUCUUUUUUGCAAAUGAUGUCUUCCUUUUUUGUGAGGCUCACCUUCCUACGGUGGCUCUCCUCAUGGAAGGUCUUCAUAUCUUUUCCUCUUGGAGUGGCCUUUGUCCUAACCCGUGCAAGAGUGAAAUUUUUUUGGCGGGUGGCACACCCUUUUUAAGGAAUGGUAUUCUCUUGGAGUUGGGCUUUCGAGAAGGGAACUUGCCGAUUCGGUACCUGGGGGUUCCUAUAAUCACUUCGAGGAUCAACAAAGCAUACUGUUUUGCCCUUGUCAACCGUAUCACUGCAAGGGUUCAGUCUUGGACCCACUGUUUCCUCUCUCUUGCUGGACGGCUUCAGCUUAUCAGGUCAGUUCUUCAUGCUAUAUAAGCCUACUAGGCUAGUGUAUUUUUUUUUUUUACCUAUAGCUAUGGUGGACCAAAUAGAGAAAAUCCUCAGACAAUUCCUGUGGAAAGGUCCGGACCUGGGUAGGGGUGAUGCUAAGGUAGCUUGGGAUGAAGUUUGCUUUCCAAAGGUUGAAGGAGGACUAGGUAUUAGGAGGCUCCGAGAUUGCAAUAAAGCCACCAUGCUGAAUCAUAUCUGGCUCUUGUUCUCUAACAAGGAACCGCUGUGGUGUAGGUGGGUUCAUUCCACUUUCUUAAAGAACAAAAACUUUUGGGUUGCUAGGAAGCCAACUUGUGGCUCCUGGGCCUAAAAGAGCUUGUUAAACCUAAAGAGUGAUUUCCGGAUGGCCUUCUAUUGGAAAAUUGGCGAUGGCAAAACAACCUCUCUUUGGUUUGAAAAUUGGCACCCUAGGGGACCCCUGAACCUGCUCUUCUCAGAUUCAAUUAUCUACAGCUCAGGGUUCUCUAGGCAGACCUGUGUUGCUAACAUCUCCUCAGAUGCUGGCCAAGCUCUCAAGAUGGUGCUUGAAUCGUGGGGCCAUCCUCUCCCGGUCCUGUCGGGUGACCCAGAUCAUUUCUGCUAGCGAGAAAGCUCUUCGGGGCAGUUCACGGUGGCAACGGCAUGGAACUGCAUCAGGAAGAAGAGAUCACGGGUCUAUUGGCACUCCUUUGUGUGGGACAACGCCAUAGUGCCUCGCUAUCAGCUUAAUCUUUGGCUCAUUGCCAAGCGCAUACUUCCAACCUAAGCUCUCCUUCUGUCCUAUGGUGGAAUUGAAAGUGCUGCCUGUGUGUUUUGCAAGAGUAUGCCCAACUUUGUUGAUCACCUAUUUUUUGAUUGCUGUGUCACGGCUGGCGUUGCUUUCUUUUGGGCUUCCGAAUGCAAUUUCCCUUGGCGCAACAGAACUUGGAGGGAGAACCUCCGUUGGGCCGCUACCUAUUUGAUGGGUAAAGAUUUCUACAAGUGCAUUGCCCGUUUUUCUAUUGCUGCACUUUGUCAUAUCAUUUGAAAAAACAAGAAUAACAUCAUCUUUAGAGACUUACCCUUGACGGUCCCGGCCAUGAAGAACCACCUCUUCAAAGUGGUCCGAGACAAGGCUAUCACCUUCAGGAACGUCGAAGAUAAUUUCAGAAAGAGAAGGUUGCAGAGAAGUUGGGGCUUAGACCUAAUUAUUUUCACUGGGGACCCGUAGGUAGUUUGUUCCGACGGUGACCUCCUCCUCACCUGUGGCGUCUUUUGUAGCCGGUUGACCAUGCCAUGCUUCAUUUGGUCUAGGUGUUGUAGUGUUUGUGCCGCGUUUUGUGGUUUUUUCAUCUUGUCACCCUUCCACUCCUUUUGUUCCUGCAUUUGGAGUGUAAGUUUCUGGUGACGAGAUCUUUUUGUACAUUUGGUCUUUCCUCAAUAUAUUUCUUACCUUUUACCAAAACAAUGAUUGGAAUAUUGUCCAUCGUUUCUCUUUAGGAGGGUGAUUUUUCCACUGUUCACUAUUUCUGGGGUCUGCUCGGCCUGGGCGUUUCAGCCUUCGAUCUCGCCCUUUUUUUGGUGACUCUCUCCCUCUUGGUACGACCUUCCUUCUCACCAAACGAUUUGGUCCUUCCUUUCCUCUUCGUGGAGUUCCCUAUUGCUCUGCUUGCCUCCGGUUUCCCCGCAUCGUCGUUGGAGGUCCUAGUUGUUGCGACUGCUCGAGCCGACCCCGGAGCUGAACGCGGCCUUCACGGAGGGUGUGGGGGCCUAUAGCUUCCUUCCUCUCUAUUUAUCGGCACUGGUAUGGAUCUUCUUAUGGUUGGUUUGUAGAAGGUUGGAGUAGGUGGUAGUGUUCUGCUGAAUUGGAUGGCGUCCUCCUCGGACGAGCUCUGCCUAGGUAAUACUAAUGGGAAGGAUCUGAGCUCCCCUUCGCACAACCCUGUAGUGAUGGAUGCUAGGAAUUUGGCCCAAAAGCCCCAGCCUGUAGGGGGUCUUCUCUGGUUGGAGACGGCGUCGUGCGUGGGCGCAAUGCUGGGCCUUCGUGGGACGACCAGUUCAGGGGUCGGAGCCGCUCUCGGGCUCCUAGAAAGCGAGCCCUUAGCAAACAUGUGAACUCGUCUAAACCCCCUAAAGCCCAAUCUUGGGCUAAUGUGGCGCAGUUGGCAGCAAAAGGGUAUGAGCUACCUUAUGUUCCUCUUAAGUUUAUGGAGGGUAAACUGGUUGUGAAUUUGUCGGGAGAAGUGUUACAAGCAGCAGAUCCCAAGUGGAAAGAGUUUCUCAUUGGUUAUUUCGUAAGGAAAAGACUUCCUUUCUAGCUUACGGAGCAAACGUUGAAGGACACUUGGAGCGCAAAGUUUGUCGACGUGCUGGCCGACAAUCAAGGCUUAUACUACUUUCAUGUACCAGACCCGGUAUACUAUAGGAAAAUUCUAGAAGAGGGCCCUCUCACUGUUGCUAGGGUCCCUCUCAUCUUGUAGCAAUGGAAACCGCUCAUGGAGUUGAAGAGAAUCAAUCAAUCCACCGUCCCAAUUUGGAUAAGGCUUAAGAAUCUCCCCCUUGACCUAUGGUCUGCACAGGCGAUGGGGGCUAUUGCUAGCUCUGUUGGCAAGCCUCUAUUUGUUGAUCAACGCAUAGAGGGAGAAAUGAUGCUCUCAUUUGCUCAGGUCUGCGUGGAGAUCCAAGCAAACUAGCCUAGGCCCUCCUCGGUUGAAGUGAUCGUUGAUGGGGUCUCGAGGGCCAUUGCUAUUGAGUUUGAAUGGAGGCUUGUGGAAUGCCCCAAGUGUGGGGUUUUUGGUUACAAGUGUGUCGAAGCCCCUACUCUCGCUUCUGUCCCAAUUGCUUCAGACCCAUCUUGGCCCCUUGCCCCUAGCUUGACAGCUUCGACCGAUCUUAAUCGGGGUUGGCAAAAGGUCAAGGGCAAGAAGAAGAAGCCCACAACUCCAAUGGAAGGCAGCUCGACCGGUCUUGCUUGUCCGAGUGAUGAUGGGAGGUCCUUGAAACUAAAGACUGUGGCAAUUGAGAAGAGACUACCUGCUACUUAUUCGCGUAAAAGCCCUAGAGGUCAACUGACCAUUUCUGAGUCGGCUGAUGAUGCUCCUUCUUCAAGGGAUGAGAAUGUCGUUCCUUCAGAGCCUGUUGACCCCUUGCUGCCUAGAACGGGAGAGAGGGGUGAGGGCUUGGACAACCUCAUCUCCUUCCCAGAAGAUGAAGAUCUCCUCUCCCUUUGUACAUCUCCUAAAGCGAUGGUGGACAGGAGGCCCUCCCAAGAUCCGGAUCCUCCUCCUUCCACAUUGCAAGAUAGGCUUCCUGCCUUAGCUCCGAAUCCUCCCCCUUCGGAGGCUCAGCCUCAUCUGCCUACCACAAGGUGUAGCUCCUCUAAAAAGAGGUAAACCCUCUUCUUUUCCUCUUGUAAAUAUGUACAUAGGAUGUUGGAAUAUUAGAGGGCUUGGUGCCCCGCUUAAGUAGGGCAUAUUUUCCCAACAACAUAGGAUGUUGUAAUAUUCGAAGCUAUAUUUUCCCAACAACAUAGGAUGUUGUAAUAUUCGAAGCUAUAUUUUCCCAACAACAUACCUGAUGUUGGAUUGACAAAACGCUCCCACAAACAAUGAGCCGUCGUUCUUCCUCACCUAGGAGAUCUAGCUACUUGUUUUACUACAUGGUGUACCUUCGGUUGCUCCAAUCGAAUUCGUUGACUCUAAGAACAACGUGCUGUCCGCACCUAAUCUCACAAGGGGAAAAAGGCACUAUGCCCUUACCAUUAGGAUCAAUUAGUAGCAUAGUAAAAACUCAUGAUCGUCGUUGUAGCGAAGUCCUUAGUUGGGCACUUGCUGAAAAUCCAUUUCAAUGCUUAAGACGGUUGAUAAAGGCUGUUUCGAUAUAUUUGACAAACUCUAAUGCUAUGGAAAUGAACUCGCUAGAUCCACUGAGAGAUUUCCCGUCGACUGUUGAGGUGAACCAAUCCUCGAAAAACCUCGCGGCAGCUCCUUUGUUGUCCCUAAUGAUGAGCAGGUUGUCUCGGCUCAUGGAUAUCCAGUGCUUCGGGAACCAUUUGAAUGCUCUGAUGUUGUUUCCGCUCACGGUUUCUCAUGUCAACAUUGGUCGUACAUCGAGCUCUCUUGUCGAGGCAUAUUAAGUAAAUACGCAAUCGGGCUUUGGUUUAUACAGGCAUUAUCCACAUCCCCCAAGAAAAUGCAAACGUUGUCAUUGCAAUUUUUCUUAGCAAGCUGAGUGACCUUGCAUAUAUAAAGUCACCUUGGUUAACUAACAUUGAACCAGGUUUCAGGUUAGCGUGAGCCUGGACGAUGCUUUGCUCAAUGGGUCGACAGCAUUUAAGGAUUGUUAGGCUACGUUUGGGAGUGGCCUCGGGAAGGGACUUUAGAUAAUGAAAGCCUUUUGGGCCAAUAUUUGAGUGUUAGGGAAAAUUUUUGCAAAUCCCAUUAGGGGAAAAUUGGCCUUAUGAAGGCUAAAAGCCCAGGGUAGGUUUUGGUGUGCCUUAGGCUUUUAGCUUUCUCAGCAUGCAAGAAGGCUAGGGCUACUAAAAAAUUUUCUUCCAAAACUAUCCUCACUAACAUUUUUGUUUUUUUUUUUUUUGUUUUGCCCCAGUUAUUUCACUGUUCAUCUUCUUCUUUGUUGAGGUCAACCGACAUGUUACACGGGACUGUGAGGGGUCGGUGAUUGGCUAGAUAGAGGCUGGCAUGGUCGCGGCGACCAAGGCAACUGUCGUCGGGGGGUUGCGCGACCUUCAUGCCAUUCGGGUCGUGGCAACCUCAGUGAGAGGCCAUGGAUCUAGGUUGCCAUGAGCUCGAUCGGGGUUGAGCAACUCAAGAAGGUCACAUGACCCUCGCCGGUAGUCGCCUAACCUUAGCGGCCUUCAACGAGGCCGCGCGACCUUAGGCAAAGAUCUCACCUAGGUCACCCAACCCCAGGCAGCCCUUGUUGGUGGUCUCCGAGGGCCACCUGAGGUCUUGCAACCUCCAACGAUGGCCACUGACGACAAAUUUGGAUUGCCAGUGGCCACCUGCCCUUCGCUAGCCAGCUACUUUUUUUUCUUUUUAAUAAUAAAGGUCAUUUGUAAAUAUAAUUCUUCCAAAUAUUAUUUUGUUCAAAGGUACUUCACAACAAAAUUUUAGGUUAUAAGUUACCAAAACACAAUUUGUAUUUUGAAAAACUCCUUUAACUUAAAGUUCUUUACAUUUUUUUAAAGACUUUCCUAAAAAAUUUAACCAAACGCACCUAAAAAGGAGCAUGUACUGCAAGUAACCUCUAGGACGUGCGAGAGUGUGUAUGCCACUGACUGCCACAUUUUCUUUAGUGCACAAAUAUCCAAACCUGCAACUAUUUAAAAAAAAAAGGGAGCUUGCUCCCGUAUUAGAAUUGUGAAAUUAUCAAUUGUUAUGUCCAAGGAAUGCAAUAAUCAGGGAUGUUGUUACAUUAAGUAUAGUCAAAAUCCACACAACGUGCUUGGUUAUGAAUCAAUCAAGAUAGACCCGACAAAUGGACCAAACCUUAAUCUAAGCCUUUUGAGAACUUUAAUGGUGACAAGCUGCGAAGCCAUUUCAGCGUCGAGAUUGACAAAGGCAAACCUUGACCCAUCUGAGCUCUCUGCCACGGCAUACGACCCUCGCCCUCAACUGGAAGUGAACCCUAGCCGUGUUCCGGUUGCAAGUUCCCGUAGCUCAUUGUGUUCGCCCCUGUAGCCGGUCCAGUCAUAUUUGUAUUUGGAAGAGUAGGUGAACGUACACAUGAAAGAAAUGAUCUUUACUAUGUUGUGGCUCCUGAUUGUUUAAGUAAUUAAAUAUUAAAUUCAGCCUUCAUCAACAACUUAAGCUUUUUGAACAACUGGCAAUGGUCUACAAAAUUUCAUAUAAAUCAGAGCUAGAGAUCUUGAUCUCAAAUCUUUCAAUGCCUCAUUGUCUCUAUAAUUAAAUUUUCACGCUUAAUACUAGGCAAAAACAAACUAGAUUAAACGCGUUUGUGUCUUGCUUUGCUCAUCAUUUACAAAGUGGUCACAUUGGUUAUUGAUCAAAUGAUCAAUUGAGGGACUUAAAUAUGUCAUAAGGAGCGCAAUCACUUAGGAUUUAGGGUGGAGUUUCAGCUUUGUAUGUUAUUCUUUGUUUGUAAUGAUCGAGCCGUCAAGAUGAUAUGUCCUAAUCAACUUGAUUUGGGGAGUGAUUGUGACAUAAUUACUGGAAACUUGGCAAAAGAGAGUCUUCUCCUAGUUUGCUCGGCCUAAGGGAUCAACAAUGCAGUUCUCUUGUCCAUUUAUUGGUGCGGAAUAUUUGUGAUUGCACAAUCAGAAAACAAUUAACUUGGGAGUUACAAACAACUAAAAUUUAGGUAUGAACGACUGUUGAGUGAUAUUCGUAUAUUAUUUAUAAAAAUUAUCUUAAACUGUGAAACGGGCUUGUGUUAGAGCAAUCUAAGUGUCGUGUUGCUAGGCAAAAUGAUGGAGUGUUGCACCUUAGAUGGUGAGAGUAUAGCAGUCAAAAGCAUCACCGUUUGGUAUAUAUGGUAAGUUGACCUUCGCUGAGAGCAUCGCCAUUUGAUUUAUAUGGUAAGUAUACCGUUUGGUGUGUGUAUAUGUAAGUUUGACCUUUAGUUAGUGACCUUACAUUCGAUAAACACAUAGAUCUUUAGCGCUUAAUUUCUCAAGAAAGUACAUAGAUCACAUUGUGCAGAAUAUUAUUUUCAUUUAUAAUUGAUGCUAUUCACAGUGUCAUCGCAAUUUAAACUACAAAAUAUGGUAAAAUAUGUUAUGAUAACAUUGAAUAUAGAUAACAUGUAUUGAUCCUUUUCUAUAUAGAGUCUAUACCACAUGUGUUGGACUUGCGGAUAGCAAAAUAGAACAAGAGUUAGUGCCCAAGUUUAGCGCAUGGGUGAUGAUGCGGCCCAUUGGCCAUUCCCUGCUUUCACGAUCAUCAAUGAAUGCAUAGAGUGGCAAGCGCAAUGGCAUAAUAUCUUUAUUUAUGUCGACAACAAUUCCGCCAACGAUAAGUUUAGGACUUGAUUUGACUAAAAGAUAAAGUAUCUAACUCUAUAAAAAAAAAAAACAAUGCCGAUCAAUUGACCGUGAACCGUUGAGAUCAUCCAUCAACAGUCCCCGACAUGUAGAUUAGAUACCUUCGUCAAGAAGCGUCGAGUCGAUUAGAUUUGGAAAUUUUAUAAGUUCAUUGACAACGAUUCACAGACGACUGACUAGAGAGGAAAACUAUCAGUGGUCCACAUCGCUCUUUCGUCGAUACAGACGUGUACAUUCCUCCAACCGAAGAAAGUCUCGUUUUCUCCCUUCAUUCUAGAUAAAUAUCUACGGCUUCCACGUGGGGUUGUGCUCUUAACUCCAGAAUGGAUCCGCGUAAUCUGGUCGAUCACAGUUUUCUAUUUUGCGUUUGAUUCGAUCGAACCCAAGACUCUCAAACAAGAUGGAAACUGCCACCCGUCGUAUGGAGGAGAGGUGGCUGUCAUAUAAUGCACUCAAACUGCUCCUGGACCCUACGAUGAUUCUCGCCGGUUCUGGACCUUCGUUUUGGUGCAUUUGGCAAACAUCAAAGGGGGGUUGUCAAGUGGGGUUCCAAAGCAUCAUUCCUUGCAUGCUAGUCAAUAAAGAAUAUGUUGACACCUAAAUUUUGACUAAUCAUUUAGUAAUUAAUUGCAUAAAAAAUUUUAGGCGUUAAUCUUUAAUCCCUAAAAAAAAAUAGCAAAAUUGCAUUUCAUGUAGUCGCAUUUGCAUCGGUACUAAAAGGCAACAAGAAGCAGGGGCUCGCGGUCGAUUACAUGCACAAAAGGAUGGUCUCUCUUCGCUGGUCUAAACACGCAAAAGAGAGUCAAAAAAAGAGGAAAGGAGAAAAUUCUCGCACGUCCAUUUUCUCUCCCUCAUUAAUGCAUGCACAUGCACGCGCAAAAUGGGGAGGACGUGAAAAUUCUAGAGAAGCCGCAAGCAUGAAGAAAGCAAAGAAAGAAUUCUCCACUGCACAUGCGAAAAUUCUGGGAAAAGCCUGCAAGAAGAUGGGCUAACAAGGUCUAGAGAAGAAAGAAAGCAAAGUUCAAUUUGGAUUUUCACACUAAAGUCGGUUGUUUGCCUAUAAAUAAGCAAGGAUCCUCGGCUUGAGAAGGGGGGGGGGAGAUGUUAAAGAGCAAAGAUAAAAAACACAGACUAUAAAUACUGAUGGAAGUAGAGAAGCAGAGUCUGAAGCUGAACAAGCUGAAGCAGAAGCAGAGCAAAGCUCGAAAUAAAGAAAAGCUGAGUUGGCAAUCUAUGAAGAAGUUGAAGAAAAGAAAUAGAGGCUGAGCUGGUGAUCCGUGAAGAAGCUGAGUUGGCAAUCCACGAAGAAGCUGGGUAUAUAGAAGAUUAAAACCAGAAACAGAAGUUGAAUAAGCUGCACAAGGAGCUGUUUGUUGGAGAAAUCUUCUUGAAGUGUUUUGAAGCUGACAAAACGUUUCCAUCAGUCUAGUCUGAAGGCUUGCAGACUCUGCUAUUUAAAGUCUGAAGACCUCCGGACAGCCAGACUCAAGACUCAAAGUCUAUCCUCAUUGACAGUCUCUAAUCCGUUGAAGAAAGGUUAUCCAGAACUGGAUGUUUCGUUAAGGAUUUAACCUUACCAACUGGAGAAGAUCUCGUGGCUGGAAAAGACAUAACGGAGUCCUUUGAUUGAUCGAAGAUUGACUAAAUAUUAUUGGAAGGUUCUACUUAUGGAAACUGAGAUUCUGAUUGUAUGGGCGAACAUGAUUGAUGGGCUAUCGACACGUUCCUUUAAUAGCUCGGAUAAUCUUCCUAAUUGAUUCCGUCCAACGGGUAGAUUGGAGGAAUUCUUUUGGUAAGUGCCAACGGGUAUGAUGGCAUAAAAGAGUAUAUAAGGAAGACGUUCUAAGUUGUUGAGGUGUGCGCGAUAGAAGAAUUCCAAAGUCUGAAGCUCCUUUUUGUUUAGACAAUUCCUUUGAGCGAAUACUUGUAUACAAAAGAGAGUCUAUAUUUGUGAGAAAUCGUGAGGAGGUGUGGUAGAACAUCUACACUGUGGAAUCAAGGCAAAGCUGUGCUGUAACUUCUCUUUUGUUCAUAGUGGAAUCCAGCCAAUAGGCUGUCAGUGCAGAAGAGUGGACGUAGGCUUGACAUAAGCCGAACCACUAUAAACCGCGUGUUCAAUUUUCUCUUCUCUUAGUCUUACUUUGAUUAUCGUUUGUCUCAAAUCCAUCAACUGUCUAGUAUUGUGCAAUUAUCGAGAAAAAUCUUUUAUAUACCUAUUCACCCCCUCUAGGUACUUAUACUAGCUAUAUCAAUUGGUAUCAGAGCCUGUGUACUUACUUUAUUUGAAGUGUUUUACUUCGUAGUAAAAGAUCCAUGGCUAGUAUGCUAGCACCAGGGCUGAUGGAAGGGCAAAGCAAUACCAGACCACCCUACUUUGAUGGAAAGGAUUACAACAUCUGGAAGAACAAGAUGAAAGCUUUCCUACGAUCAAAGGAUCCUCUGGAAUGGGACGUUGUAGAAAAAGGAAUUACUCCUACAGCUGCAUCAGUCUCUGAAAGAGGAAAAGAAACUGUUGAGACCAGCGGAAUGACUGAGAAAGAGAUAAUCAAGAAACAAGCACUCGAUGCAAAAGCAAUUUACUCUUUAUAUUGUGCUUUGUCACCAACUGAAUAUAAUAGAAUAUCUUCUUGUGUUACAGCAAAAGAAGUUUGGGACAGAUUGCAUAUCACCUAUGAAGGAACAGAUCGAGUGAAGGAAACCAGAAUUAACAUUCUUCUCGGUCAAUAUGAAGCCUUCAAAAUGAAACCAAAAGAAUCUAUAACUGACAUGUUUAGCCGUUUUACAGAUAUUGUCAAUGGUCUUGAGAAUCAAGGACAAACAAUUUCUGAUCCCAUGAAGGUAAACAAGCUACUGCGUGGACUCUCCAAGGAUUGGAAUCACAUAAAGACUUCGAUAAGAGGGACGCAAAGAAUUAUGCCACUAUCUGUCGACAAGCUGAUUGGAACUCUUCAGUCUUAUGAAGUGGAACGGAUCAAUGAAGAUGAAGAUCCAAAAGGUAAGAAAUCCAUUGCAUUAAAAUCAAAUGAUGAUUCUGAUGAUACAGAUUUUGAAGAUGAUAUGGACGAUGAGGAGCUUGCUCUCAUGAUAAGAAGAUUCAGAAAACUGAAUAGAAAAGGAAGAAGGUUCAACUCAAAGAAACAAAGCUUUCAAAGACAGCAGACCAAGUCUGUUGAUGAUGAGGAACCAAACAAAUAUGUAGUCUGCUUUGAAUGUAAGAAAAAGGGACACAUCAGACCCAACUGUCCUCUUCUGAAGAAGAAGAGAGGAAAAGCUGAAAAAUUUCGAAAAGCUCUCAAAGCCGAAACCUGGAGUGAUACAGAGUGUGAAGAAAGUGAUAAUGAAUAUGUCAAUCUUUGUCUGAUGGCACAAUCAGACUCAGACUCUGGAUCAGACUCGGAUAGUGAAUUUGAGGCAAGUAAUUUUAAAAUUCCUGUCAAAGUUUCUAAAUACAUUGAUGAACUGUGUUUUAGUCUUAAGACUUCUCUCAAAAGAAUUUCCGAACUUAAAAAAGAAAACUCAGCUCUAAAACAAAAUGAAAACGUUUUAGAAGAAAGAAUUAAAAGUCUAGACUUGACUGUUUCCACUCUUAAAGAAAAUGAAGAUAAUCUUUUAAAAGAAAAUGCUCUUUUAAAAACUGACUUAUCAAAUAUUUCAAAGAAAUUUUCAAUAGGGUCUGAAAAACUUGAAAAAAUUCUUUCAGCUCAAAGACCUUACUUCAAUAAGUCCGGUCUAGGUAUGACAGCAGAAACAAUUCCCUUGAUUGAUUUUCCUAAAGUAAAAGAAAGAAUUAAGAAAAAACCCUCGAGAGAGGCUUACAAAAAUCAUUUCAAGAAAGUUUUUGUAAAAUCUGUAGGUAGAAAUGCUCUCAGAUGUUCAAAGUGCAACAGUCCGGAUCACUUUGAAAAAGAGUGUCCUAUGGUUUGGAAACCUGUUAAGAAAAUAUAGGCUAAUACUGCAUAUCUUACUAACACCAAAGGACCUAAGAAAGUUUGGGUACCAAAGAAAGCUUGAGACUUUAUUUUAAAUGCAGGUCUCCGUCAAGAAAAAUGUAAAGUGGUAUCUUGACAGUGGAUGCUCAAGACACAUGACAGGAGACUCAAAUUGUUUUAUAAAGCUUGCUCAAGUAAAUGGUGGAAAAGUUUCAUUUGAAGGAAACAGCAAAGGAAGUAUUGUGGGAUUUGGAACUGUGAAAAUUGAAAAUCUCACAAUAAGUAAUGUUUCCUUAGUGGAAGGACUCAAUUACAAUCUUCUCAGCAUUAGUCAAUUGUGUGAUACCGGUUUCAAGAUCUUCUUUCAAGAAGGAAUAUGUUCUGGAAUCAGUAAAGACUCUACUCAGUCUUUCAUGGGUCGAAGACAUGGAAACAUCUAUCUUCUGGAUGUGAAACCAAAUGAAUCGCAAUGUCUUAUCUCAAUUCAAGACGAAGCAAGCUUAUGGCACAGAAAGCUUGGUCAUGUCAACAUGAAGCAAUUAGCCAAAAUCUCAUCAAAGCAGCUUGUUCGAGGUCUACCCAAAUUACCUUAUCAAAAGACUGAUCCAUGCACUCCAUGUAUUCUGGGAAAGCAGGUAAGAAAUUCAUUUAAGCCAAUAAAUCAUGUCUCUACUAAUCAUGUACUGCAGUUGCUGCAUAUGGAUCUCUUCGGACCAACCAGAACACAGAGUAUUGGAGGUAAGAAAUAUUGCCUAGUAAUUGUGGACAAUUACUCCCAUUUUACUUGGGUAUAUUUCCUUGCAAGUAAGUCCGAAACCUUCUCGUAUUUUGAAAAAUUUGCUAAAAAGGUUCAAAAUGAAAAAGGAUGUGUUAUCUCAAGUAUAAGAACAGAUCAUGGAGGUGAAUUUGAAAAUCAAGAUCUUACAAAAUUUUGUGAUGAAUCUGGCUUUAAGCAUGUGUUCUCCUCUCCAUAUACUCCUCAGCAAAAUGGAGUUGUGGAAAGAAAGAAUAGAUCUCUUCAAGAAAUGGCUAGAACUCUUUUAAUUGAAAGUAAGAUUUCUUCACGAUUUUGGGCUGAAGUUGUUUCAACAGCAUGCUAUAUCAUCAAUAGAGUCUUCUUAAGACCUAUUCUAGAGAAAACCCCUUAUGAGUUAUUCAAAGAUAAGAAGCCUAUUGUUUCAUACUUUCAUGUAUUCGGUUGCAAAUGUUUUAUAUUGAAAAAUGCAAAAGAUUGAGUUGGUAAGUUUGAAGAAAGAUCAGAUGAAGGUAUCUUCCUUGGAUAUUCUACAUCAAGCAAAGCCUACAGAGUCUAUAACAAGAAGAGCCAGUCUGUGGAGGAGUCAAUGAAUGUCAAAUUUCAAGACUCAACGCAAGAUGAAUCAAGUCAGACUCAUCAAGAAGAGUCUGAACCUGCUCCAGACCCUCCAAAGCUUACAACUCAAGAAGCAUCUCAGACUCUGGAAGACCAGCAUCAGGUUGUUCGUGAAGAUCCAAAUAAAGAGAGAGAUCAUCAACCAGACAAAUCAACAAGUAACUGGAAGCAUAAGUCCAGUCAUCCCAAAGAUCUUAUUAUCGGCGAAAUUAAUGAAGGAAUUCGCACCAGAUCCAAAAGGCGAGAAGAGUCUAGUGCUGUGGCUCUCGUUUCUGAAAUUGAACCAAAGAGCAUAGAAGAAGCUUUAUCUGAUGAAAGCUGGAUUGAAGCUAUGCAAGAAGAGCUCAGACAGUUCAACAUUAAUGAUGUCUGGGAAUUGACAUCCAAACCAAAAGGUAAAACUGUUAUUGGAGCUAAAUGGGUGUUCAGGAACAAGAUGAAUGAGAAAGGAAGAGUCGUACGAAACAAAGCAAGACUCGUGGCCAAGGGAUAUACGCAAGAAGAAGGAAUAGACUAUGAUGAGACUUACGCACCAGUAGCAAGGUUAGAAGCUAUUCGACUAUUACUUGCGUUUGCUUGUUAUAAGAAUUUCAGGUUAUGCCAAAUGGACGUCAAAAGCGCCUUCCUAAAUGGAUUUAUCCAUGAGGAAGUUUAUGUGGAACAACCACCAGGGUUUGAAGACCCAAAGAAGCCAGACUCAGUCUUCAGACUGAAAAAGGCUUUGUAUGGUUUAAAGCAAGCACCUCGAGCUUGGUACGACAGAUUAAGUAAGUUCUUAAUACAAAAUGGUUUUGUCAAAGGUAAAGUAGAUACAACUUUAUUUAUCAAAAAGGAAAACAAAAGUUUCUUACUUGUUCAAAUAUAUGUGGAUGAUAUUAUUUUUGGAUCCUCUAAUGAAAAUCCGUGCAAGAAAUUUUCUAAGUCUAUGCAGGAUGAGUUUGAAAUGAGUAUGAUGGGAGAGUUAACAUUCUUUCUUGGUCUUCAAGUAAAACAAUUGAAGGAAGGAACUUUUAUUUAUCAAGAAAAAUAUGUUAAUGAUCUUGUCAAAAGGUUUGGACUGGAAAAGUGCAAAAAGACUGACAUACCGAUGUCAAGUUCUUUGAAGAUAGACAAAGAUGAAGAAGGGAAGAAAGUUGAUCAAAAGCUGUACAGGAGCAUCAUUGGUUCACUUCUUUAUCUUACUGCUUCUAGACCUGACAUUUUGUUGAGUGUUUGCAUCUGUGCUAGGUUUCAAUCAGAUCCUAGAGAAUCCCAUCUUAGUGCUGCGAAACGUAUUAUUAAAUACGUUGCUUCAUCAUCAAGCAUCGGUCUUUGGUAUCCUAAGAAGGGAGACUUUAAUCUUCUGGGAUAUUUAGACGCAGAUCUGGCCGGUUGCAGAGUUGAUAGAAAAAGCACUUCGGGAACUUGCCAGUUGCUUGGAAGCAGGACAGUGUCUUGGUUUUCAAGGAAACAAAGCACUGUGGCUCUUUCAACAACAUAAGCAGAGUAUGUAGCCCUUGGAAGUUGCUGUUCGCAAAUUCUAUGGAUAAAACAACAGCUAAGAGACUUUGGAAUUAAAGACUCAUGCACGGAGAUUAAUUGCGACAACACCAGCGCUAUCAACCUCACCAAAAAUCCAAUUCUCCACUCAAUAGCAAAGCAUAUAGAGAUUCGACAUCACUUUAUUAGAGACCAUGUUCAAAAUGGAGAUGUUUCAAUUCAAUUUGUUGACUUAAAGAACCAACUAGCGGAUAUAUUCACAAAGCCUUUGGAGAAAAAUCAAUUUGAAUCUAUCCGUUCCAAACUCAGCAUUUUGAGGUAUGAGGAAAUCAAAGUCUAAAGACUUUCAGACUCAGACAUACAAGACUUUAUCUGUAAGAUAGUCUUGGUACGACCAUCAGACUGUAAGUCUUUCUCUCUCUAAUCUUAUCUUGAAAAGGUACGAUUGUCAGACUGUGUUUAAAUUGUUGCUAUUGCAUCGUUCAUUUCAAAAAGGAAGUUAUUUUUGAAAUGGCUAUUUUUGCGGAAAAAGACAGUUAUUUUGAAAAGGCAUAUUUUUAUUUCCUUUGUGACGGUUCGUUUAUCUCUCUUUUUAACCGACCGUGCACUGUUAAUUCCUCUUCACUUUACUCUCAAAAAACCCUAGAAAGCAUCGAUCCUCCAUUCCCGUUUGUCUUCUUUGUUUAAUCUUCAAAAAGUUGUCAUCUUUCUUGGGAAAGUCAAGCAAGGAAUCUUCCAAAAACUGAGAAAGAUGUCAUCUACAAGAAAGUCUUCGAGAAUCGCAAGCAGGGGACCACGGCGAAUGAGUGAGGGGCCUACGCACUUCGAUCUUACUGAAGAAGAAGUGUCUCCAGAACAGCAACCGAGCCCACAACAUUCUCAGCAGCGUCAUUCUCCUCCAUCUAGUCCUCAAGGCGUUGAUCAUCAACAACAGGAAGAAAUCAUCGAGGAUGCAGACCCUGUAAGAGUUCAAAAAUCCGCUUAUAUUUACAAGCUAUAUCGUGCCUUAAAAGGAACUCGUACUCCUUUGAACUAUGUUGAUGAUUUUCUUAAAGACAAAGGAUAUGGGAACGAAUAUAUCUUUCUGUGAAAAAUGGAAAGUUUGGGAAUUGCUCGUAAAGGGGUGGCUGAAGAAACCCUUGCGAAUAUCCCAAGUGAUCCUCGUGACUGGGGGCCGAAUCCUGUAGAUGGGAAUGAUGAUGACAAAUUGUACAGCCAAUUUCAACCGAAAAUGGGUGUUGCGGUUGAAAAUCAAGGAAAAAUGGGAGAUUUGUUCAGAUCGAAGGAACAAAAGGAUCUGUACUCGAAAUUGCUGAAGCGUGGGGUAAUAAACCCUAGGAGUGUGGAUUUUGAUUUUCUAGAUGCUAUGAAUGUGAAUUUGAGGGAAAAGUUCAGUUAUCUUCAACUUGAAAAGUUCUGCUCUGACAUUAUAGAGGCCUAUGUUGAAUUAACUGCAUAUUUCUAUUCAAAUCUUAGCUUUUUGGAUGCGAAUAGAUUCUCUUUCAGCGUUAAAGACCAAGACUAUGUUGUGGAUAUGAAUAUGCUGGCAGAUGUGUUAGGAGUUGAAAGAGGAAGAUAUCAACCGAUCAAAGUUUCCAUUGCUCGGACCACACUGGAACUGGUGAAGGACAGGAGAACAGAGGAGAAGAUCACCUACUUAAGGAUGAGUGCAUUCAACAUCUUGCUUCACAAGAUUGUGAUCAAUUGCUUCCGACCGAAAUCAACUUCCAAGACUGAUGUUUCAAGUUCAGAGGCAAAGCUGAUGUAUGCCAUCCUCUAUGGGAAAAUUUUUUCUCUCCCUCACACUGUUAUGUUUCACAUGUAUAGAGCAGUGAUGAAGGACAGAGGUCAACUCCCUUACCCAAGCCUUGUUACGAAGUUAUUCACACAUCUGAAUAUUCAGCCUCCGCAAAUCUUUUGUGUUCAACCAUGCGAUCAUAUGGUGGUAGGACUGAAAAUGGUGACCAAAAUGCGUCUGAAGGAACUGAGCAAGGAGUUGGAGAAAUUCAAGGAGAAGACUCCUGCCAAAACUCAUCAAAUCUCUUCUGCAGCUAAAAGAAAAGGGAAGGAGCCCAUGGUUGCUCCAUCUAAGAGAAGAAGAGCUCUCCUCUUUGAGGAUGAAGAUGAUGAGGAAGACAUCACCAUCUCUGCAAUGGCUUUGAAGAAUUUAAGUCGUCCUGUUCCACAGAAAGAAUCGGAACAAAUGACGAAAGAAGUAGAGGAAAAGGAAGAAGAAGAAAGAGAAGCUGAAAAAGAAGCAGAGGAGGAAAGACCUGAAGAAGAAAGAAGAGAAGAAGGAGAACCUGAGGAACUCUCUUCUCCACCUGUAGGCAUGGAAACAGGGGGAGAUUAAGAGAAAGGAGGGAAGUCUUCAUAUCCCGAUGCAAGUGAAGGAGUCAGUCGCUCACCUGCAGACCCAUAAGAUGUUUAUGCCUCUCAGUUUCCAGAAGAAGGUCAUGAAGUCUCAUCGCCAAACCUGCGAGAUUAUGCUGAUCUACCAUCGUCUGCAUUUACUCCAUCAGAUCGGGCCGAAGCAAGUACUCAGACUGAUAAUACAGCAGAUUUUCGCAGAAUCAUGGAUAUUCUCUUGGAGAUGCGAGGUCAAAUUUAUAACUUGGGAUAUUCAGGCCAAUGCCAAGGGUGAGGAGAUUGCACAACUGAAGGAAGACUUGAAAAGGUUGGAAGGCAUCAUUUAGUCUAUGGAAGAUUUCCAACUUGUCCGCGUUCCCAAGCAAUCUUGACUUCAUCUCAUCCUUUUUAAUGCUGACAAAAAGGGGGAGAGAUGCAAGAUUUGAACAAACUUUCAAUCAUUAAACUUUUAAUCGUGUGGUUUGUUGGAUUGUUUUGUUGUUUGAACUCUGUUUGACUUUGUGUCUGGAUGAGAACUGAACUAGACUUGGACUUGACUGCUUCUAUUAACUAGUAUUGAUAUCUUAUGGAUGGCUUUAUCGUAUACUAGACUAACUUAUUUUCUGUGGUUGCAGAUUCUAGUGUUAUUAAUUUAGCCAUUUAUCUCUAUAAGAUAUGCAUAUGUGUUUGAGAAAUGUUUUGCAGGUCAAAGUUAUCCAAAUCUGCAGGAAAGUUUUGUCACCAUAAAAAAUGGGGAGAUUGUUGGAGAAAUCUUCUUGAAGUGUUUUGAAGCUGACAAAACGUUUCCAUCAGUCUAGUCUGAAGGCUUGCAGACUCUGCUAUUUAAAGUCUGAAGACCUCCGGACAGCCAGACUCAAGACUCAAAGUCUAUCCUCAUUGACAGUCUCUAAUCCGUUGAAGAAAGGUUAUCCAGAACUGGAUGUUUUGUUAAGGAUUUAACCUUAUCAACUGGAGAAGAUCUCGUGGCUGGAAAAGACAUAACGAAGUCCUUUGAUUGAUCGAAGAUUGACUCGAUAAUUGAAGAUCCGGUGAUUGCCUAAAUAUUAUUGGAAGGUUCUACUUAUGGAAACCGAGAUCCUGAUUGUAUGGGCGAACAAGAUUGAUGGGCUAUCGACACGUUCCUUUAAUAGCUCGGAUAAUCUUCCUAAUUGAUUCCGUCCAACGGGUAGAUUGGAGGAAUUCUUUUGGUAAGUGCCAACGGGUAUGAUGGCAUAAAAGAGUAUAUAAAGAAGACGUUCUAAGUUGUUGAGGUGUGCGCGAUAGAAGAAUUCCAAAGUCUGAAGCUCCUUUUUGUUUAGACAAUUCCUUUGAGCGAAUACUUGUAUACAAAAGAGAGUCUAUAUUUGUGAGAAAUCCUGAGGAGGUGUGGUAGAACAUCUACACUGUGGAAUCAAGGCAAAGCUGUGCUGUAACUUCUCUUUUGUUCAUAGUGGAAUCUAGCCAAUAGGUUGUCAGUGCAGAAGAGUGGACGUAGGCUUGACAUAAGCCGAACCACUAUAAACCGCGUGUUCAAUUUUCUCUUCUCUCAGUCUUACUUUGAUUAUCGUUUGUCUCAAAUCCAUCAAUUGUCUAGUAUUGUGCAAUUAUCGAGAAAAAUCUUUUAUAUACCUAUUCACCCCCCUCUAGGUACUUAUACUAGCUAUAUCACUGUUCACGUGUCAAUGUAACGGUGUAGUUAUUCGAUUGUUCAAUCUUGUAACUGAAUUUUGUUAAGUCAGUUUUGGAAGAUCGUUUUAACCAAAAUGUAAAGCUUCAUUAAUGGUGUGGAAGAUAGAAGAUAAAUAGAUGAUUCUCUCGAUUCUCUCUGGUACUUUUUGCUUUUCUGAGAAGUAGAACUUCAGAAGAUUGUAUAGAUUGAGAGAAGAAGAGAAAUGUUCUUGACUGAUGUAUUGAUCAUUUAGUAUUCACAAUAUACAGAGUUCUUUCUUUCGUAUACAUUUCAGUUUUAGUAUCUGUUUCUUCACAUGGUAUUAGAGCAGUGUUCUGGGAAUUCUCGAUCUUCUUUCUCCAUUGCUGAAAGUUUGUAUAAAGACUGCAUGAUCAAGGCAACAUCAAGAUCUUGCUGAUCUUCAGAAAGCUGAUAUUCGAAGGUUACUUGCUUGUUCUGUCAUAUCUUCAAAGUGUCUAGAUAUACAGAAUGACAACCAGGUUGUAGAAGUAUCCAUUUCCGAUUCAUGUGAAUAUAGCCAAUUUUGUUACAAUCAAGUUGACAUAAGAGAAUUUUCUACUAUGGCAAGCUCAAUUUCAUAGGUUCCUGAAGAGUCAAGAUUUGAUUGGCUUUAUUAAUGGUGAAACAUCACCACCAGCUCAAAUGAUACAAGCUGAGGUUGAGGGAAGACAAACACAAGUGAUGAAUCUUGAUCAUCUAGAUUGGAUAAAGACUGAUCAGUUAAUCUCAUCCUGGAUAAGUGGAGCAGUCUCUGAGAACAUUCUAAGUCUGAUAAUUGGCUUAGAGACUUCAUUCGAGGUAUGACAAACUCUUAUAAAUCGAUUUACACAGAGGUUUAUAGCAAAGGAAUUCGAAUUAAGAGGAAAAUUACAAGCUUGCAGGAAAAGAGAUAGACCAUUGAGCGAAUAUCUUCGAGAAUUUAAAUCCAUUUGUGAUCAACUAAAUGCCAUUGGAAAACCUGUUGAUGAUAUAACCAGGAUGUUUGGCAUUCUUGAAGGGUUAGGAUCAGAAUAUGAAAGUUUUAGAACAACCAUGUACUGUCUCAAACCUCAGCCAGAAUAUGAUGGGGUUAUUUCUCAACUUGAAAGAUUUGAGACUAGAUUACAAACAUAUUCUGUAAAUCAAUACAAUACUAACCUAGCAUACUAUGGACAAAGAAAGAUUGGAACAGGUCUGCAAAAGUCUAGUUUCAGAAACCAAAGAGAAAGUAUCCGAGGAGGGUAUAACUAUGGCAGAGGACAAUCCAUUAAUAGAAGAGAUAGUGGAAAUGAUUUUACUGGAGCAUGAAGGAAUCGCCAAUAUCAAAUGAAUAACCUGAAUCUAACAUAGCAAGAUCAGGCUAAUAAGGAUAAUUGGUCUAACUAUGGACAGGGUUUUAGACCAUAUACAAAUUCUUCUCAAAGAUAUCAAGGUGUUAGAUCAUAUCCACCACAAAGUUCAAAUGGUAACAAGCAUGUGCAGAACACAAAGCCUAUAAAUAAUGGUAUUCUGGAAUGUCAAAUUUGUAAAAGACUAGGGCAUACGGCACUUCGAUGUUGGUAUCGUUUUGAUAAUUCAUAUCAAACAGAUGAAAUACCAACUACAUUAGCAGCCAUACAUAUUGAAGAACCUUAUGGUACAGAAUGGUACCCAGACACAGGAGCUACAUCCCACAUUACUGCAGAACCUGGUAUGCUUCGUAACUGUUCUGCAUAUAGUGGUACUGAUAUUGUUAUGAUAGGAGAUGGAUCCUGUUUGUCAAUUUCAUGUUUCGGUAAUGGAAUACUACAUACAAAAACAAGCAUAUUACCACUAAAUGAUGUUUUAGUAGUUCCUGAAAUCAAGAAGAAUCUCCUUUCUGUAUCAAAGUUAACAGAUGACUAUCCCUGUUCUCUUAUUUUUGACAAACAUGGGGUGUAUAUGAAGGACAAUUACAACCAUACAACAGUGAAGCUAGGAAGGAAAAUCAAGGGGCUGUAUCAAGUGGAUCCUAAAGCCACAGAAGUGUUCUUCACUCAGAUUCAACAAGAAGUAGGAGAAGAUGUCUGGCAUCAAAGGCUUGCUCACACCAGUUUAAAAACAGUGAAGCUUCUGCAAAGCCAACAUCUAAUUCAGUAUAAUUCAAAAGCUCAAAACAUGUGUAGCAGUUGUCAGAUUGCUAAGAGCUCAGCUUUGCCUUUCCCAUCCUCUAACUAUACAUCUAAUGCUCCCCUAGAAAAGAUACAUUGCGAUGUUUGGGGACCCUCACCAGUUCAAUCUGUUUAGAAAUUUCGUUACUAUGUCAUUUUUGUGGAUGAUUUUUCUCGAUAUAGUUGGAUAUAUCCAAUGAGACAGAAGUCAGAAGUUUAUGAUGUUUUUGUCAUGUUUCAAAAGCUAGUGGAAAAUCAACUUGAUCACAAGAUCAAAAUACUUCAGAGUGAUGGAGGAGGUGAGUUUACUAGUAUCAAAUUUCAGAACCACUUGCAACAGUGUGGCAUAAAGCAGAGUAUUUCCUGCCCUUAUACACCAAAACAAAAUGGUAUUUCUGAGAGAAAGCAUUGACAUGUGAUCGAAUUAGGCAUAGCAAUGCUAUAUCAUGCUAGAGUACCUUUGAAAUACUGGGUAGAUGCCUUAUGACAGUAGUCUAUAUAAUCAAUCUUCUUCCUACAACAAAGCUACACAUGGAUUCACCUCACUAUAAAUUGUAUAAACAGAAACCAGAUUAUGCUCACCUACGAGUCUUUGGAUUUGCCUGUUAUCCUUGUCUCAGACCCUAUACACAGCAUAAACUCGAUCUAAGGUCUGUCACAUGCAUAUUUCUGGGAUAUAGUGAGAGACAUAAGGGUUACAGAUGUCUCUUGCCUACUAAUGGACAUGUCUAUAUCAGUAGACAUGUAGUGUUUGAUGAGACAGUAUUUCCUUUCACUCGGAUAAUAACAGCUGAGCAUCAACAAGGAUCUGAGCUGUAUAAACAAUGGAUAAGAGGAAUUUCUGGAUCCAAUACAACAGAACAGAACAAAUCAAAAGUUCAUAAGCCUAUUGGACACUUGCAGAAUACUAGAUCAGUUCAAACAAUUCCUGAUAUACAAGACAGUGGGAUCAGUACAAUCGAUCCUAUAGUUAUACCACAAAUGAAUACAUUACCUGAUGAUGAGAUGCAGACUGCACCUGAUAAUGCAUCAGGUAAUAUUGAAGUUCCACUUAUAUCUAUAAGUACUGAGGAACAAGUGUCUCCGAGUCAAGAAUCUGUUUUAAUACCACAAAGUAAUACAGAGCAAGUUCAAAUCAGUUCUGUAUCAGGAAAUACACAAGGUACUCUCUCUAUCCAUCCUAUGCAAACUAGACUAAGAUCUGGAAUUGUUAAACCGAAUCCAAAAUAUGCAUGUCUGGCUGAAUACAAAGUUCCUAUUGAACCGAAAUCAGUAAAAUCUGCUUUGGCAGACAAGGGAUGGUAUCAAGCAAUGCAAGCUGAAAUGGAUGCUCUGUACCAGAAUAAAACUUGGGAAUUAGUUCCUAGAACUGAUCAAAUGAAUGUAAUUGGCUGCAAAUGGGUGUUUAAAACAAAACUUGCUCCUGAUGGGAGUCUUGAUAGGCUGAAAGCUCGACUUGUAGCUAAGGGUUUUCACCAAGAAGAAGGCAUUGAUUUCACAGAAACCUUCAGUCCUGUGGUGAAGCAUGCUACAAUUCGAAUAGUCCUGUUUGUAGCAAUGAUGAGACAAUGGCAAAUUCAUCAACUUGAUGUUAAAAAUGCCUUCUUACAUGGUACACUAAGUGAAACAGUUUAUAUGGAACAACCUCCUGGGUUUAAAGAAUCACAGAGACCUCAUCAUGUAUGUCUUCUCAAGAAAUCCCUCUAUGGACUUCGACAAGCUCCUCGAGCUUGGUUUGAUAAGUUCAGCAAUUUUUUACUAGAAUAUGGUUUUUUCUGUAGCUCAACUAAUCCAUCAUUAUUCAUCUUACAUAAUGGUACAGAGACAAUCCUCCUACUGUUGUAUGUUGAUGAUAUUGUUUUAACUGGAAGUUCAUCUCAAAUGCUCUCUAAUCUCAUUAAUUCUCUAAGUCUCCAGUUCCAUAUGAAAGAUCUGGGUCCACUUCACUAUUUUCUUGGCAUUGAAGUUAAGCGUACUCCUGAAUAUCUGUUUCUUUGCCAAACUAAGUAUGCUAUUGAUCUUCUCACUCGAGCUCAUAUGCUAGAAUGUAAACCAAUCUCAACUCCUCUUUCAUUGAGACCAAAUAUUUUGAUCACUGAUCCUAUACUUCUAUCCAAUCCAACUGAGUAUCGAAGUCUGGUUGGUGGUCUCCAAUAUCUCACAUUAACUCGACCAGACAUUGCCUAUGCUACAAAUGUGCUAUGCCAGAAGAUGCAGCAACCUACUAUUGCAGACUUUCAUAGAUUAAAGAGGGUUCUGAGAUAUAUUAAAGGUACUGUCAGUCUUGGAAUAUUCAUCCAUUCCAGAAGCACUAUGCAUCUUUAUGGUUUCUCAGAUGCAGACUGGGCUGGAUGUGCUAAAACCAGAAGAUCAACAACUGGUUUCUGCACAUACCUCGGCUCCAAUCUUAUCUCCUAGGCAGCCAAGAAGCAACCAAUAGUAAGUCGAUCCUCUACAGAAGCUGAGUAUCGUGCUCUUGCCUCCACUACAGCUGACCUCACUUGGGUAAGUUUUGUACUACGAGACAUAGGUUGCUCUCUUACUCCUCCCAUUCAUCUAUACUGUGACAAUAAGUCAGCCAUCUCUCUCACUGCCAAUCCUAUCUUACAUGCUCGAACAAAACAUAUUGAAGUAGACUUCCACUUCGUUUGAGAAAAAGUGUCCUCAGGCUCAUUACAUGUAAGAUAUAUUCCAAGUCAUUGCCAACUUGCUGAUAUUUUUACAAAACCUCUAUCACGACUAGCACACCUUCAUAUGCGAGUCAAAUUGGGAAUUUGUUCUCUAUCCAUUCCCAAUUUGAGGGGGGAUGUUAAAGAGCAAAGAUAAAAAACACAGACUAUAAAUACUGAUGGAAGUAGAGAAGCAGAGUUUGAAGCUGAUCAAGCUGAAGCAGAAGCAGAGCAAAGCUCGAAAUAAAGAAAAGCUGAGUUGGCAAUCUAUGAAGAAGUCGAAGAAAAGAAAUAGAGGCUGAGCUGGUGAUCCGUGAAGAAGCUGAGUUGGCAAUCCACGAAGAAGCUGGGUAUAUAGAAGAUUAAAACCAGAAACAGAAGUUGAAUAAGCUGCACAAGGAGCUGUUCACGUGUCAAUGUAACAGCGUAGUUAUUCGGUUGUUCAAUCUUGUAACUGAAUUUUGUUAAGUCAGUUUUGGAAGAUCGUUUUAACCAAAAUGUAAAGCUUCAUUAAUAGUGUGGAAGAUAGAAGAUAAAUAGAUGAUUCUCUCGAUUCUCUCUGGUACUUUUUGCUUUUCUGAGAAGUAGAACUUCAGAAGAUUGUAUAGAUUGAGAGAAGAAGAGAAAUGUUCUUGACUGAUGUAUUGAUCAUUCAGUAUUCACAAUAUACAUAGUUCUUUCUUUCAUAUACAUUUCAGUUUUAGUAUCUAUUUCUUCACAGGAGACACACGAGUUGAGAGAAAGGAGGGGAUUAAAAAAAGGAGAGACUCUCGUCAGAGAGAAAGAAGACAAUAUGAAGUCAGGGGGAGGAGAUUAAAAAAAGAGAAAAAGCAGAGAGAGAGAGAUUGCAGAGAGUGAGACGUGAGAGAGAGACAGAGACAAGAAGUGACCGAACAUCAAAAAAAAAAAAAAAAGAGGAAAAGACCCCUACUGUUCAUCUUCUUCGGGAGUUCCUCGCUGCUGCUGGUCGCUCGGCGCUGCAGCCGCCCACCCGCCGCCUUCCUCCUUCCGGCGAGCUCCGAGCCCACCGCCGCGCCUCUGCCCUCGUGCGCCACCGUCCCCGUUGCUGCACCUCUGAGCUGGUCACACAUUUUCUUUUUAAGGACCCCGGAAGCGCACAUUAAUCCCCCCCGCCCCUGUUUUUUUAAAAAAAGAAGACUUUGGUGGGAGAUCAAAAAAUGGGCGCGCCCCCCCCCCCCCCCCCCCCCCCCCGAAGUCCGCUGGCCGCUGCUGCAACCUGCCCCUCCGCCCGAGCGUCGACGAGUCGGUCGCCGUGCCACCAGCCACCGUUGCGUCCCGCCUCUCUUGUAGCCCGCACCGACCCGCGACCACUUGACGCUGCUCUUGCUCCGCCUGCGGCCGCUGGUCGCCAUGCCGGCCUCUGCCCGCCACCAGCGACGUCUGCAACUCCACAGCUGCAGCACCUCCAAGCCAGCACCACUGCAUUCCGCUGCUCGUCGUGGCAGCAACCGCUCGAGCCCGCCACUGCUCUCCACCGCAGCUCAAUCCCUCGCGAAACCAGCAGCCUGCGAAGCCACCGUCUCAACCCGCGCCUGCACCUCCGCCCCGGCGUCCACUGUAGCCCGCAACACCGUGCCGGUCCGAGACUCGUCGCUGCUCACGACAUCAUCAGCCACCGCCCUUCGCCGGAGCUCCGAACGCCGGUGCCCUGUCAAGCCCGUGAAGAGACAAUUGUCCGAGCCAACGCCCGUGUCACCCCGGACGUGAGCCGAAUCUCCACCGUGGUCUACAAAGUACCGCUUGUUAAGGCAAAUUUGGAAAAAAUUCAAAUUAGGUAGGUUUAUUAUAUUUUAUUAUGUAGAAUUAUUUCAUUAUGUUAUUUUUAAUAUUUUGUCUCUUUGUUUGAAUUAGUUCUUAAUGCAUGUUUGAAAAUCCCCGACGUAUCACCUAAUUCGCAACCGCACAAUGAUUUUUUUUUUAAUUUCAUCUAUAAGGUUUUAGAUGGAAUAAUUAAUCACGCGGGAAUAAAAUUGAUAUAUUGGUCUUUAAGGCUUAAGAUCAAAUUAUUGAUUUUAUUAGCGAAACAACCAUGGAGGAUUUUUUUAAUUGCUUUAUACAAAAAAAUUGCAGUUGCAUAUCAUGUAGAUUAGAAUUGAUUUUUCUAGACAAAAUUGCAUGAUAAAAUAGUUAGUUUUUUUAAAAAUGCAUGUUUAUAUAGUAUCUAGGUUAGAUAAUAUCUUUUGAAAUAAAUUGCAUGAUGAGAUAAUUUUCUCAGUUAAGAUAGGACUUAGAUUAGUCUAAUCCUAACUUAAAAUAGAUAACUUUAGUUAGAUUCUUUAUAUUUUAGCAAUUUUAAUUACGAAUUUUUAUUAAAAAAAAUACAAAAAAAUCAAUCAUGCGCAUGUCAUGUAGAAUUAGGUUCAUGAAAUGCACAUCAUUUAAUGAUUAUUGCUAGGUUUAUUUAAUUAGAAAUUGCUCAUCAUUAGAAUUAGGUCAUUUGGUUAAUUUAGAUUGCACAUUUAAUUAUUGGUCAAUUUUUAAUUUCGAAUUUCAUAAAAGAAAAAGAAAAAUUAGAAUUAGGGCAUUCACGUCAUUGCAUAUUAGGAUAAAUUACAUGCUUAUUAAGAAAAUAAAAAUCAUGUGCCUAUCAUAUAGUUUAGGUCAUACUACUAUGUCAUAUCAUUUCAUGUUAAAUUAGUAGCAUGCAUCGCAUAAGGCAUGAUUCUCAUUAAAUAAGUGAAAAAAAAAAGAAAUUCCAUGUUAAUUAGAAAUCAUAUCUAGGACUGUUGAUAUGAAUUCUGAUUUAACAUUGCAGAUGCUUUCAUUGCUAUGAGGUAAGUUCUGCCAUUUAUUCAUUACUUUAUCUGGGUGUUCAAUUGGUGGUUUGCGCAUCCGCAUGAUCACUUCACAUGUUAGGGAGAUAAAUUAAAAUCAAUUCAAGUUGCUUGCCAAAUAUUUUUUCAAAAUAAAAGAAAAUGUACCGAAAGGGCGUUAGAGAAAUCUAGUGUAAUCAAGUCCUUGAACUCACAAUCUCUGGUUCGUAUGAGUAAAGUAAAUCUCCCGUUACUUUACUUGGAUUUCUAAUUGACCCACAAAAAAUAGAUUAGUGGCGACUCAUAAUUAAAAAAAUCAAUUGCAUGUUAAGAACUUGAACCUAAGUCGCGAAUUGGUAUGGGCUUGGGAGAGCCCGAAUUAAGUCUAGGCUUAGCAAUCCAUUAGCCUAAUUUUAGGUGGCGCAUCCGAAAUUUAGGUCGCGACAGAAUAUCUACUCUCUCUCUCUCUCUCCCCCCAUUAAAGCGGCAACCAUACCCCAUGCCGACAUGAAAUUAUGCUAAAGCUUUUCUCUCUUCUCUCUCAUCCCGGCUUCAGCAAGAAGAGAAAAAGCAAACGACCAUCGUUCUAAUCAAGCCAUUUGAUGUGUGGGGCGAAAUGUUUAAGUUUAUUAAGAACAACAAAAUACUUCAUUAACAAACCCUACUAGCAACAAAGCGGAGACAUAUAUAAGCACAUAGCACUAAUAGACAAUACUCGCUCACUUUUACUAUUUUUUUUCCUUAUCAAAGAAAACGGAAAUUAUAGCCCGCAAUUAAAAACACAUUAAUCAAAACAACCACCGCGGCAAAGCAAAUCCACACGUAAACUUCAAGGAGCAAAGGCGGUUCUCUCUCUCCUUCUUUCUCCCCCUCAGUGACACUCGUCGCCCUUGGGGUGGUACCCGGGCAGCUCUUCCUUGAUCUUCUCCAGCAACCCCUUCUUCUCCUUGGGAGAUCCGUCCUGGUAUGGCGGCUCCACCGGCGCACACUCCACCGGAGGGGGGCGGCGGCGGCGGAGGAGAAUAGACUUCGUCGGCCUUCUUGUGACCUCCAGGCAGUUUAUCCUUUAGCUUAUCGAGGAAGCCCUCCUUUUCAUCCGCUGGCGCACCGGGCUCGUCGUACUUCUCCACAGGGACGGUCGUAUCCUUCUCGUACUUCUCUUUCUUCCUCCUCCUCCUCCUCCUCCUCCUCCUCCUUCUUCUUCUUCUCCUUCUUUUCCUCCCCCUCUCCUUCCUCUUCUUCUUUUCCUCCCCCUCUCCUUCCUCUUCGUCGGACUGCACAUUUCAUAUAUGACACACAGUUUAGUGAUCUGUUUAUGACUCUGGACAGCAAACAUCACUUAUACCGGAGCAGACUCCUGUCCAUGAUCACCGCAAUAUGCCCAUCAGUGCACGCGCGAUCAUGAUCAAGAAACAAGCCAAAACUAAUACACAACAAGAAGACCCAGAGAAAGAGAGAGAGAGAGGUGGGAAAGUGAGGGAUGGGGCAACUUACAGAGCUGGAGCUGUUGCUAUCAGAUCGGUGGAGUUUCUCCAAGAGGCUAUGCUUCACCUUCCCUUUAUCCUCCUCCUCCACGACGCACUCUUCCACCUUUACCUUCUCCUGGAACUCCGCCACCAUCACCUCCUCCUGCUUCGUCUCUCCCUCCUCCUCCUUCUUCUUCCACAUGAAGUCGAACAGCCCGCGGUCCCGGGUCUCCGCAGUCCCUUCCUGGACGACCGGGGUCUCGCACUCGUGGGUGGUCUUGCUCUCGUGAUCCAUUGCUCUAAACACACAGCGCCGCUGCGAUCAACGACCGGC
rnacentral:lncRNA from 1 species